rnacentral:lncRNA from 1 species
UUAGGGCCUGUUUGUUUACCCCCCAGAUUAUAUAAUCUGGAUUAAAUAAUCCUAAGAGUCAAACAAACAGUCUAGCUUAUUUGCCCAGAUUAUAUAAUCUAACCCAUUGGAUUAUGAUAAUCCAUAAGCAAGUGAGGAGGUGCUUAUUUCAGAUUAUUUUUUCUCACUUUCCCACUACCCUUUCAAGUUUCCUAGAAAUUACCCACCAUUGUCAUUAUAAUCUACCGAAUCGUUUUUGCGCCUAUCGGAUCGGAGAAGCCCGCCGCCCAGCAGAAACACGCCAGAUAAUCUGGGUAAACAAACAGGACUACUCAGAUUAUAUAAUCCAAAUUAUAUAAUCCAGAUUAUAUAAUCCUCAAAAAAUAAUCCAGAUUAUAUAAUCCAUUGGGGUAAACAAACAGGCCCUUAGAUAGGAGCAGUAUCUGUACCUACUCUUUUCUGUACUAAAAGAAAUGUCGUUCUCGCUUUCCAAAAAGUCAAGCACUUUUAAUUCUAACCAAAUAUAUAAAAAAAACUAUUAAAACUUGUAUUACAUAUAGUUAGAACCAUUAUAUCGAUCAUUGAAUCUAUUUCUUAUAAUAAAUUUAUUUUGAGAUACAAAUAUUGCUAUUUUUUUAUAAAUCUAGUUGAACUAAAAAAAUAUUUGAACAAUAAAAAUAUCAUAAUGUAAAUAAUAUAUACCAGGGUAUCCACAAGACGGACGUAUGUGGAUAGGCCCGUAGGCUCGGCCUAGAGUCCAUAAACUCAGUCGCCAUAGUUAUUAGAAGGUCUAAUAUAAAGAGAACUCCAGAAGUACAAAUAUGGCAAAGAUUUUAUUGGAAUAUGAGAGACAAGACAUAGUUCUAAACAGAUGGAACGUGACUCUAAUAGAUAAGGAAGACAUAUUUGUAAGUAUAGAGAGUUGUAUUCUCGUACGACUAGGUUAUCAAAUUAGAUGUAUCAUGUAAGCUACUCGUAUUCAAAAUACCAUAAAUGCUAAAACUAAGAUUGGAUGGUUAUGGCAUUGUCGACUAACCCAUGUUUAAUUGGAAAAAACUUCACUGACUUCUAAAAAGUUAAACAUGUAAUUGGACUAACCAAUGUUUCUUUUGAGAAAGAUAGACAUGUAGUGCUUGCGAGGCACGAAAAUAAGUUGGAGCAAGCCACCCCACCAAGAACAUCAUGACGACUUCAAGACCAAUUGAGCUACUUCACAUGGAUUUGUUUGGGCCUUUGGCCUACAUCAACAUAUCGGUAAUGUGAUUGAUAUAAAAUAUUCAUUUGGUGAUUGGAUCAUUGGUGCCUAGCUGUAUUCAAUGUAGUUUAUGGUGCGAUUCUAUAUGACUGGUUGCUCACUUUUGAAUCUUGUUUACAAUCUGUGCAUGGUAAUUAGUCGGUUUAGGGUUUAGAACUCCUGACAUUAUUUGUUUGAGACCAAUAGCAACUGGAGCUAGCGUAGAUGACAAUGCAUAGGAAUUAGGAAGUCACAUGUCUACAUAAUUGUUGGUUUGGUUGCUAUAGGGUUGCAAAUUUUAUUUUACUUUAUUUUAAAUGAAUUGUUCCGUAUAAUAUGCCAAUUUCCCCUUGUGCAUUCAGGCUUUGUGCGUUACGACGAUAUAUAAAUUAUUUCAUAAUGUGUUGCGACGGUACAUAAAAUCAUUUGAUCACAUUCAGUUUUCAAGAUGUCUUGGAUGAAGUUGACUGUUGUUUCUUACUUGCUUUCUACUUUCAACUUGACUACUGCUUUCUACUAUGGAGUGACCAAGACCAUGUAUGUCAAUUUGACUACUGCUAACUACUUUAUUUUCCCAAGUUGACUGCUGCUUUCAACUAAGGAGUGACCACGACCAUGUAUGUCUUUGAUCAUAUUCAGUUUUCAGCAUACUCUGACCAAUACCAUGUAUGAUUUCACGACUCCCAUGGUUUAGAAUUUAGAAUUUUUCUCACAUGGUGUAAAAUUAAUGCUUGAUGUAGAAUUAUGAAAAUAUUUUUUUUAAAUCAUAUAAGACACUUGCUUUUAUGAUAUUUCAAUGUAAACAAUUAUGUUGUUUUGAAAGACAUCUUUUGAUUAAAUGUGUAUAAUUGUGGAUGGUCCAUUUUUGUAUUCUGUAGCUGUCAAUACUCUGAUGUUUGGAGCAUGUUUGACCAUCAAUUAGUAAGGCUUUGUAUGAGAAAGCUUAAAGCCAAUAGCCCAAGACAAGAAGUUGUGCCUCUACAAAGGUGCAUAUCAUGCAAUCUUGGAAGGUGAACAAGAAGAGAGUAAGAGACAAUGUUCCAAGUCCUCCACGGUGUUGGGAUGGCUGUCUAAUGGUGUUGAUGAUGAUCGAAGUAUGAUGGGUAUUGUUGGUGUGUGUGUGAGUCUCUCUCUCUCUCUAUAUAUAUCUAUCUCUCUCUCUCUCUCUCUCUCUCUCUCUCUAUAUAUAUAUAUAUAUAUAUAUAUAUAUAUAUAUAUAUAUAUAUAUAUAUAUAUAUGGAAAAGUAACAUACUAGAGAGUACACAAGCAUAGCUUAUAUGCCCACCAAAAAAUCAUUAGUCUCGGAACGUGCUGCUCCGCUUUCUUUGCGAUGUGUAGCCAUUUUAUUUUUUGUAUUGGCUCAAACCACCAUGUAUUACAAUAAAGCUUUAAACAUGUUUUAACAACUAUUUCAAUUAAACAAGCUUUACUGUAUAUGAACCGUAACAACACACAUGCACAUACCUAGUAGACAAUAAGAUAGCUGUGGUGGUAUUAUAAACUCACGAUAGAUGACUUCGUCAGUCUUAAAAUAUGACAAUUUAGCCAUUCAGACUUUUAGAAUGAAAGGUCUCAUAUGUGUUACUUCAUCCAUUGCAAAUUAUUAAGCGUUGUGCCUUUUCGAGAUACAUUGAUUUUAUGAUGUAUCUAAAUAUAGUGUACAUUUAAGCCUAAAAAUGUCAUUGCUGCCGUCACGCAUAGUGUCAGUUCACUAGAACAGUUAUCCUGUAAGUGUCAGGGAAAUAAGAAUGUACAGAAUGACAAGGGUGAGAAAGAGACCAGUAGAUGAAAUGCGACCAAGCAUAUAACAGUUAACUGCCACACGUAGGAAGGAAAGGAAAGAAAAGAACGCUGUUGAAAUACUAUCAUGCUCGGGGCAUCGUGUCUGCAAAAAAAAAGUGUUAUUUUUCUUUUUUUGCAUUGCGAGGUAGUAUUGUAGUACUCAAUACUACUCCCUCUGUUUCAAAAUAAAAUUUGUUUUAGCAAAUUAGUGGAUUAUAGGGUGUUUAAAUACACUAAAAUUAAUAAUUAGUUGGCUAAAAAUUAAUAUUAGAAUUAGCUAUCUAAAAAUAGCUAACCUAACUAUUAACUAAUUUACCAAAAAUAGAUAAUAGUUGAACUAUUAGUUAGAGUGUUUGAAUGUCUCAACUAAUUUUAGCCACUAGAUAUUAGUUUUAGUGCAUUCAAAUACCUCCUUAAUACAAUACUUGAUGUAUAUGUUUUUGUAUAUCUAUCUAAAUUUAUUAUCAUCUAUUUAAAUAUAGACAGGAAAUUAAUAGCUAAAACGACUACUAUUUUAAAACUGAUUGAGUACCAUUUAUUAUUCCAGAAAUACAGAGCAACGUUGUGUGUCAAACCAGCAAUGGGCAGUUGAAAAGAGGAAGAAAAGAAUACAGAAAGCGACUAGUGGGACGAAGAUGGCCACGCACAGACAAACGAAACAAGAAGCAUGCUACAGUGGAAUAGCGAGCUCCGAGCUGGAUAUUUCCAUCGCUUGUGUUGGCUUGGCCGAGCGAGGAAUAGCUUACUGACUGGUGGGCCAAGGCAGAAGCAGCAGCAUGGAUUCGUGUGCAUCCGCUGCGAGUUCUGUACAUUCCUGAAACUGAUGAGAGGAUCUCAGCAGUGUACUUUUCCAUGUCUGGAAUACAGAUCUAUAGAGUUAACUAAUCAGACGUCAAAGGAGAACGUGCAUCUGGGUUCUCUUUCUCGCAUGCCAAUUCACCAUCAUCAUCAGUCACUGCUUAGUUAUUUGCUGCAAAUGGCUGCAGGGCAUGGAAGUGCACCCACACACAGGGCACCUGCUGUGACCCUGGCCAUUUUCCCUACUGCAGCUAAAGCUACGAGGAAGGAGACCAUUGCUAAAAGGACGACCAUUCAGUUCCAGCUGGAUCCGUUGAGGUCGAUCCUUUGGCUUUGGCUGCCGCGAGGCCUUGGAUUGCUCCUGCCGCCGCUGAUGCUGAGGUCAAGCUCCUGCUGCUCAUCCGAGGACCCUCCUCCUCCUGCUCCUCUUCUGCUGGGCUCGUCAAGAAACUGCAGGAACUCCUCGCAGCUGGCGCUGCCGCCGCCUCCUCUGUCGUUGUAGCCUCUGCUGGGAGUGGGAGUGGGAGGCGGAGCGGACGAGAGGCCGAUGGACAGCAGGUCCUGGUCCCUCUCCCUCUGGCACCGAGACCCCUCGCACGCGGUCAGGCAGCUGUCCACCGACCCGUCGCCUCCGAGGUGGUGCUGCUGGUGGAGGUGCUCCUGCUGGACAUUGCCGCGCCUCGUCGCCGUGGCUCUCGAGAUGAGAUCCGGCAGCAGCAACUGCUGCUGCUGCUGCGUCGUCGUCGUCGUCUCGUCAGCGCCGCCGCUCUGCUUGGCCAGCGCCUCCUGCGCCUUCUCCAGCACGGACUGCAAGUACUUGCCCUGCGCUUCGAUCCGCAGCUGCAGGUGUCUCUGAACCUGCACCAUCAAUGGGAAAAAUGAAAAAAAUAUAUAUAAAUAUGCUGAAAGCAGAGGAAAUGGGCCAAAGCCCAGCCAAGCCGUGCAGGUGCAGCACAAGGAAAAGUGUGCUCCGAAUUAGUCGCGGGCGAAUCCAGUUUAUGGGCCGAAAUGACGGUGCGUGCGUGCGCCGGCCUCUGGAAUGGAAGGCCCAAUAAUACCCCAGAUCCAACGGCGUCACGAACUCACGAUGACCGGAAUGGUAGGCCAGGGCAGAUGGUUCCAACUCCGGCCGCGGUCGCCGCCUCUCGCGCCCCGGUGCCAGGACUCGGGAUCCGACCAUAGGGCUUGGCAUGCCCCUUUACUUUCUUUUUUAACACUUGUAUUUAUUUUUUUCUUCGACAGGGUGUUCUCACUUUUUUUAAUUGGUUCGUUCCCCCCUGCAGUUUUAAUUUGCACUGUCGGAAACAGUUCCCUGCCGAUGAACUCGCUACUAGUGUUUUUGAUGCUAUAUACAGGUAGUGGUGCUUCUGCAUUAUAUAUGUCUAUAUCACGGGGACGCUGAGCUAUGCAAUAGAUAUAUAUCUUAAUAAAACUAGAGAGCUGCUGCUUGUAUUUGUAUAUACCUCUAGCUGCUCAUGCAGCCGUCUCUGGACUUCGAUCUGCAUCUGGAGGGCUUCACUUAUGUGCAUUGACCUGCCAGAUUACCGAACCGUGUCACACCUUCUGAAGGUUGGAGAAGAAUGCAUCCAGCUGUUAACAAAUUUAGCUGGCUUCUUCGCUCCUCACCUGUUUAUCUGCGGCGGUUCUAGGUUCAGGUGCGGCGGCGGCGGUGGUGGCGGCGGUGAAGCACUCCCUUGGCAUAGGGCGUUGUCUGCUCCCGUCCGGCAGCCUACCAACGCUGCGAAACAGAGGCAAGCAGGCUUAGCACAUCUCUCGCACUGGACUGGACGGCUGGGGUUUCAGUUACUUGAGCUACACUGUAUUAAGAAGCAUUUAUAUAUGCAGCCUACCAUUCUUUGCGCUGGCAGUAUGAGCUUGGGCCUGGAGGUUCUUGCUGAGUCUGUAUUUCUAUGAGACAAACAGAAAAAGAAAAAAAAACACAUCUAUCUUAGUUUGUGACGACGGGAAGCCAAAAUUUGUUUUCCAUGCCAUACCAUUCCAUACUCUGACAGCAACAGCAGUAUCUGAUCGAGAUGUACGCACGUACGUACCUGGAGAUGGCUCUUGAGAUGGUACAGGGUGAGUCCAGGGAUCCCCAUGAGCCUCAUGAUGGUUUUCGGCGUGGCCUCUGCGAGAGUUUGGACAUGCAUGCACGCGGGCUUAAUUUAGAAGAAGAGGUAAUCUACCAUCACAAAGGCUCUGUGCCAUGUUUGUGCCGUGUGUAUACGAGCUAGCGUUUUGGUACUCACUGUCUGGGCCUCCGAGCUGAUGCACCGCCUCAACAAAACGCUCGUGCAGCUCGGGUGUCCAUUUCAGGCGAGGCUUAGCAUCGGUGGAGAGGACGAGCCCUGCAUCUCCGCCGCCGCCGCCGCCGCCUGCUCCGUGCAGGAGGAACUGCUUCUCAGGAGGUAAGCCUGGCCUUGACGAGGACAGGUGCUGGUUAUGGGUGUGGAGCUGUUGCUGAUGAUACAUCUGCUGCUGUCAGCCUGCAGAACUCCAGGUCAGUACGUUUCUUGCUCUGCUCCACCAGUCAUCAUCAGGUAAAGAGAGAGAGAGAGAGAGAGAGAGAGAGAGAGAGAGUGGAGCGAAGCACAUGAGAUCCUCACCUGUACGUUAGUUGUUCAGCUCCUGUUAUGUACUGAAAUGUCUGGUUGCGGGCAUUCCUGACUGGUGGGAUAUAUAUCCUUGGCAGCUUUUACCGGUGUAGCUCAGUCAGUGGCAGUGCGUCCUCUAUUUGUAGAAACCAAAGAGGUGUUUGUUUGUGUGGUGUGGUCUUCUCUCUUCUGGGAGUGAGUGAGUGAGUGAGACAGACAGCCUUUAAUUUAAUUUGGCUUCUGAAAACUAAACUACCGACCUCCUGUCUCCUCUUGCCGAGAUGUUAUGUUACGCAGCAGACUCCCCCGGCCGUCUGUCUGUCUUAUAAGGCAAGAGGACCGGCUGGAUCGGAGAAUGUGGAAUCAUCUGAAGAAGCACUCAACCCCCCUGAUCGACUGCCCAAUCUCUGCAGCAACUGAAAAAGAGAUAUUAUCCUUAUUCCCCCCCGGCCCACCACACCCUGCAGUCCUUUUUUCUUUCUCAACUCCAGCAACAACCCGGCCCUCUCUCUCUCUCCCCCUCUCGCUCUUGCCUUGUGUGUUCUCAUCAUGAACAGCUUUUGGUUGAAAUUACUUGCCACAUGAGAACGACGAAGGGCGAAAGCGAAGCACAACAAUCUUUUUCAUUCUCCUCUUUGGUUUUCCUUUUUCUUUUGGAGGAGGAGGAGGAGAAAAAGAAAGAAAGAAAGAAACCCUAGAGAUUAUUCUGCGUGGUCUGCAAUAUAAUCUGACGAUGUCGCUGUAGAAACUUGGCAGCAGCCCCCCUCUCUAGCUCAGAUUCCUCGAUGAUAUCGAUAUCUUAUUAUUAGUUCGAGAACCAGUUCCAGUCUCCACUGAGUUUCUGGCCUCCAGUUUUGCCGAAACGAAAGGGGCGGUCGAUCCAUCGACCAGCUAGCUAGCUAGCUAGCAGAGCUGCUCGUCGUUGUUGUUAGGAUCCAUGGUCCGUGAUCGCAUGUAGUAGCUUACGUACUGUUGGUUGCUAGCUGUUGGGCUGUAUGUAUGCACCAGUUGAGAAGCAGUACGGGAUGGCCAUACGAUGGAUGUCGGUUACGUACGUGGACGGCCAAAGCUUGAAACUUCCCUUCUUUUUGACUGCAGCUAGGCAUCAUCCAUCCGGAAGAAGAAUUGCGAGAAAAGCUUGGCAUACACACACACAGAUAAAGCGCGCGGCCGGGAGCUGUGGCCAUUGUAUAAGAUCGAACGCCUUCUUGGGAGACGGACGGACGGCACAAAGGCAAGGGAAUGGAAUAACAGGGGGGGGAUAAGGCAUAGGAUUCUCGCCUGUUGGUGUGGUGUCUCCUUUGGUAAGUUUGGCACCACCAGCUUAGCUUAGCUGAGCUAAGCUGAGCUAAGCUCAGCUACUGGGGGCAGCCAACUGCCAAAGCCCAAAGGGUUCAUGGUAAGGCAAUUAAUAGGCUGUAUCCGUGUGUGCACUUUGAAGCCGGUGCCGUAACUUCACCUGCUGUGCGUACAUGACAUGCAUGCAUGGGGGGCAGCAAAGCAUAUAUACAAAACAAAAGCGGGCUUAAAAUGCAUGGAGCAGCCCCUGGUUUCUUGGAUUGCGCCCUCGCUGUAUCCUCCUCCUCCUUUUGCUUUUUAUGCUCUUGCACUUGUUCUGACCGUGAUUUAUCUGUCCUCCGUCUCCAUGCAGCAGACGAUGAUGAUGAUGCUUAAUUACAUCGAGCAUGCAACUGCAUGUAGCCGGCCUUUUGGACGCCUUUGCCUUCCAGAUGGCCGUGUGUGUCCCACAUAGCAGUAUCUCUAGUUAUGAUGCAUACGUCGUGAGCACGCAUGAUUGCAUCAGCUAGCGAAGCUUCUAGUCUCCGUGGCCGCGCCAGGGCAUGCAUGCAUGUGAACGAAGAACAGCAUCUCAUGUUUCUCGCAGCAGAGUGGUCGGUUUAUAUCUUGAUUGGUUGUUCAGCCAGAGGUGAAGCAAGCUACGGAGGCGACACGUGCACUGCGCCAAGAACGACGACGACCCACACCGCCAGGAGUGACUAGUGACCAUUGCGUUCAAUUCGAUGUGCUCUCUUGGAAUAAGUUGGCGAGCGAAUCAUCAUCCUUGCGACUAAAUAACCAAGCGAGAUAUACACACACUAAGAUAAGCAACGAGGGCUUUAUUUGUUCGGUUGCACAUAUAUAUAUGGUAUCUAUACCAUGCAUGUGCAGUGCCUCAUUGUUGAGGAAUUGGAAUUGGAUUGGAUUGGAGCGAGGUCGAUCGAGGAAUGUGUGCGCUGCUGUGCAUAUAUUCUGUCCUGUUCCGUCUCCAAAUAGCUGCUCAGUACAUGAUUCUCUGACCAUUGGCUCCCGCGAGUUUCUCACCAAAGAUGACCGCCUAGCUGCUCCAUGAACAUAAGAAGAAAUCGAUCCAGACCACGCAGUUUAGUAGUGUAGUAUAUAUUCCCCCGGCCGGGCAUUAGCUCAGUUUGAUUGAUGCCGCCGUAGAGCUUGCAAUGGGAUUAAUACAAGCUCAUCGAUCCCUUUUUCUUUGUUCCGUUCUUAUAUUAUAUCGUGUAUAUAUAUAUAUUUGGCGAAAGAUUGUGUUCGGUUGUUACUUGUUUAAGUGUCUGGGUAUCUUAUGCUUUUGUUUCUCUCGAUCCCUUUCUUCUCCAUGCCUUUGCAAAUCGCAGCAAGCUCUUUGGUGUGGUGGCGGGUUUCAUCUUGAUGCGCGGGCAGGCUCGUGACAGGGAAUAUUGUGGGAAAGAGGCUGGGAAUUGUAUUGACAAAGCUGGAGGGGAAUCACGUCCAAGCAAUGACCUUUACACGACCUCUUUUUUUUUCUUCUACAUUUCAUGCAGCCAUGGAACCUGAAGAGAGAGCCAUGAAAGCCUUAGCAAGUUGGUCGCCCUGGAGAGAAACCAGUAGGGAAUCCAAGACCAACCGUCGAUGCUGCUGUUGACACCUGCUGUGUCUUGUAAAAGAAGAGAAAACAAUAAGGCUCCCAAAUGGUAGCCCCCCUCCAUCAUCAAUAGAUGGAGCGAAGCGAGGGCUCAUCCAGUCCAGGGUAUACUGCGGUCAUGUUUAUGCUACAGCUCCUGUGCCGAAACAACGCUUAAGAGUGGAACAUAAAAGUAACUCGCCUCAUGUGUAUGCUAUAGCUAAUGCGUAAACCUGUCUGGGGAUUUGCCUGGAGCCUACUUUCUCAUCUGCGUCAAGAAAUCAGCUGCCGGUCUUCCAGCCCCACUUGCUCCAAAUGCCGAGAACCCAGCUCCUUGAUUACCACCAAAGGAUCCGAAUCCACCACCACCUUCAAACCAAGCAAAUUGUCUUAUGUUAGUUGCCAAAACCAGGUGCUAGCGCCAGACAAAACAGAUAAAUUUUUCACUGUAAAUUUUAUUCUUUCGGUAGCCCAAACUGCUUAUAAAUUGGUAAACACAUAAGAUACUAAUGCCAAUUAUUUCUGGCAUCAAACAACGGUAAGACAUUAAUUCAGCUCCAAAGCACCAAAGAUCGUACUCCGUCGGAGAUGGCAAAGGCGAUAAAUCUAGAAAAGCCAAAAACGACUUGUAAUUUGGAACAGGCAGAGGGUAUCUGACAUGACAACAAGUACUUGCAGACAACAAACAUAAUAUCUGACUAUUUGAGUAGCAUGUCUCAGCGGAUGGUAAUGCAUAUUGAUAAAAAAUUAGUACACUUAACAUUUAAGACUACAAACUGAUUGAAACGGGUUUAGGGAUUACUGCUUGAAAAAAAAAAUGUCUGAGAUUUAAAAUCAAUAUACAGUAUUCUUAAAGGUGAAGGUCAAAUACUUUUAUAUGGACUUCUUCAGGACAGCCGAAAUGAGUAACCCUGUUAGGAACUGGUCAGUGAUAACUGAUGACAAGGGAGAGCAUAAAAAUUCUUUGUAAGCCUAAUGGAGCCUAUGCAUUAUAUUCUAGCAUCUUCUUUGUAGAAAAAAUGAGUGAUGCAACCUAGCAGUUCCAACUCCAAAUACCAAUAGUGUCGGUGUUUUGACCUGGGAUCCUACCGACUAGUAAACUAGUGUUGUGUGCCCAGGCCCAGAUUGGUGAUGCAAGGAGACAAGUCUUUAUCCUGGUUCGGGCAAGAGAAUGUCCUACUUCCAGCAGAGAGGGGAUGAGACUUAUAUUACCUGCACCUAAAUGCUUGCAGUAGGGAAUACAAGCUGGUCGGGAGAGGGAAAGGAUCUCAAGUCCCUAGGAUUGAUUGAGGUGAGUGCCAAUAUCCGUGUGGAGGUGAAAACCGUGAAGUGUUCUCCUUCUCGCCUAAAGCCAUGGGCUCCUUUAUUUAUAGCCUUAAGGAGGGCCACCAGGAACGCCAGGGUUUGCCGUAUAUGGGAGAAGAGGCGUGUCCGAGCCCCUAUAGCCGGUAUGGCCUUUGUACUUGUAUUUGACUUGAGCCGGGAAGGGGAUGUCCGGUUCCUGUAUUUGCAUCUUUGACAGUGUAGAGAGCCGAGGCCAGUGUCGGGGGCUCGGUCACGUACCCGAGCCUGUUCGAUGGAGGAGCUGUCCGAGUCGAAGUGGUUGGAGCAGUGGUAAGUAUGGCAAAAAGCUCUUGGCAAUACGUAGAGUAUCCGACGUCAGCUCUACGGCUUCUAGUGACGUCGGUCGUCCUGUUGUCGAUAUUAUCAAGGUUGAAGCCACGCUCGGCGAGGCGGAAGUCUUCCCGAGGCCAUGGCCAAGCCGGUUCUAGGGCUCGUAGUCGUGCAGGGAACAAUAGAAGGGGUGGCCUUCUGCGGGAUUCGCAAGGGGCAGUUGGCCGACGCCGAGCUCGGGCGAGGCGGAGUUUGUUCCGAGGCUGAGCCGGCUUCGGGUGAGGCGUAGUUUCUCCCGAGGGUCAGACCAUGCUUUGUCGUAUGCGCGUCCCAUCCAGAGUUAUUGAACUCUGCAGACAACGUGGAGGAGCAAUAGUCGUUAUUCCUAGGCAUGUGUCAUCGUAGUUGGUGAAAGUUGAUGGGACCCGGUCCUGUCGCUCCUGUUUGACUGCGGUGUCACGUGGGGUAGGUGUUUGCAUUGAAUGCUUAUGUCUCCAUGGUUCCCAUGACCUUUGACUGAGGUCAGGCUCGGGGUUGUCCUCCUGCCUGAGACAGGCUCGGGCGAGGCAGAAACAACUGAUCCGUGGAGAGGGGACCUCGGGCGGGACGAGGAUUUCCCCGAGUGCUGCCCUCGCCCGAGGGCAGGCUCGGGCGAGGCGGAGUUUUGGGCGACCACCGAGUUGGGUCUCGGGUGAAUCGUGGCUAUACCUUCUUGACCUCGGGGAACGUGUCUAGGGGUGUAAUCCAAGUACCCCUAAUUACGAUACCCGACAAAUAGUUAUCCGAACAAUAGAAUCAAUCUAGGUGUAUUUAACUGCCAGCAACUAGCAAAUAUUUAAACUGACGACAUGACACCACAGGUUGGAAUGUUGGAUGAUUGAUUAAACACAUGCAAACCAUAAGCGAUCUGCGCUGCCACACAUUAGCAUUUACCCAAAACUACCCUCCAAAAGUAAGUCUUUGUCCAAAACAGAACACGACUUCAGAGAUGGCAAAUGUGAUGAACCUAGAAAAGCCAAAAAAAUGACUUACAAUUUGGAACAUAUGGAGUAUCUAACAUGACAAGUACUUGCAGGCAGCAAACUAAUACUCACUCCAUCCGAAAUUAAAAUUCGGCUCCAAAGCACCAAAGAUUGUACUCCGCCGAUUGCAAAUUAUAAGUCAUUUUGGAUUUUCUAGGCACAUUGCUUUUGCUUUACACCGAGAUGGCAAAGGCGAUGAAUCUAGAAAAGCCAAAAAACGACUUAUAAUUUGGAACAUAUGGAGUAUCUGACAUGAUAACAGGUACUUGCAGGCAACAAACCUAAUAUCUGACUAUUUGAGUUAGAGCAUGUCUCAGCGAAUGGAAAUGCAGAUCAAUGAUUUCAAGUCGUCCAACUAAUCGCGAUUAGUCGGGCUAGUCGGUUGUGGUGAUGCGGCCAGGGAGUCAGACCCGAUCAGGUCGACUAAUCGUCCGGUCAUUCGAUUAGUCGUCGACUAAACGCGAUUAGUCGUCCAGUUUGGGUGGGGACAAUUAGUUGGUUUUGGCCUGUUUUGGAUGUGGGCUGGACGGCUGGUGAUGAGGCCCAUUAGUGUAAUGCCUUAGGGUUUUAGCUAAAUAAGGCCCACUAGUGCUGCUGCUUUUCAAUUGGAAGGGGAUCUGCUACUUUAGGUCAAUAGUAAGUCUGUAAUUGCCUACUUGGCAUUUAUAUAGUAACUAGUAAGUCUGCAACUCUGCAUCAUAUGAAGUAGUGAGUAGUGACUAAUGUUCAGUUCAUGUCCUGAAAUCUGAAUUCUGAAUUCUGAAAUGUGAGUCUGGCCGUUCCAGUAUUCAUAUUUGCUAUGUUUGGUAAUUGGUAUUGCCUCCUAUAUGCUAUAUUGCUAUAUAUAAUUGAGUUAGUGACUGAUGUCCAUGUUCUGAAAUCUGAAUUGUCCAUUCUCCAGUUCUAGUAUUCAUAUUUGUUAUGUUUGGUAUUGCCUCCUAUAUGCUAUAUUGCUAUAUGUAUCAAUAUUAUAUAUAUUAUAUAGGUCUUGUUCGUGUAAAUAUGCAGAAGGGCUGUAGGGACGACCAGGUCGACUAGGACCUGAUUAGUCGACCUAAUCGUCGUCCUAAUCACGAUUAGUCGUCUGGUCGCCCAGGUGUAUCGACUAGCUAGUCGGGCAACUUGAAAUCAUUGAUGCAGAUUGAUAAAUAAUUAGUACACUUAACAUUUAAACUACAGACUGAUUGAAACGGGUUUAUGAGUUACUGCUUGAAAAAAAAAUGAUUGUGAGGCUUAAAAUCAAUAUAUAGUAUUCCUAAAGCUAAAGAUCAAAUACUUUAUAUAGACUUCUUCAAGACAGCCGAAAUGAGUAAGCCUGUUAGGAACUGAUCAGUGAUCAGUGAUACCAGCUGACAAGGUAGAGCAUAAAAAUCCUUUGUAAGCCUAAUGGAGCCUAUGCAAUAUACGCAAUCUUGUUUCUAGAAGAAAUGAGUAAUGCAACCUAGCAGUUCCAACUCCAAAUACCAAUAGUUAACCGAACAAUAGAAUCAAUCUAGGUGUAUUUAACCGCUAGCAUUAGCAACCAGCAAAACUUUAAACUGAUGACACCACAGGUCAGAAUGUUGGAUGAUUGAUUAAACACGUUUGCAAACCAUAAGCGAUCACACAUAAGCAUUUAUCCAAAAGUAAGUAUUUGUUCAAAACAGAACACGACUUCAGAGAUCUCACCACUGCCAAAGCCACCUCCCUGGGAGGCACCUCCAAAACCACCACCAGAUGAAGCUGCACCAACAAAACCACCACUUUUGGAAGCAAGAGCAGCAAAACCUCCACCAGUAGCAGCAGCAGCAAAACCACCACCUGCAGAAGCAGUUGGUGCUGAAAAGCCCCCACCUGAUGCAGCACCAGCAAAUCCAGCAUUACCUGAAGAUAAAGAACUAAAACCAGCAGAUGUAGAAGCACUUGAAAAUCCACCAAAUCCUCCAGAACCUAUGCCUCCUAACUGGGGAGGUUGUCCAAAAGAACCCAGCACUGAUCCAAGUGUCUGUUGAGCAGCAAACUGUGCAGGCUGCCCAAAUCCUGACUGGACAGCCCCAAUUUGUGCAGGCUUCCCAAAUCCUGACUGUUGCCCAGUUCCGAUUUGUGCUGACUGGCCAAAACCAGAUUGAAUUUGGGCAGGCUGGCCAAAACCAGAUUGAAUUUGGGCAGUCUGCCCAAAUCCUGCAUGCUGGCCAGCUCCAAUCUGUGCAGGCUUCCCAAAAGCUGACUGCUGGCCAGAUCCAAUUUGUGCAGGCUGUCCAAAUCCAGUAAGCCCACUUGAGAACGAAUUAGAAAAAGAACUAGAACUAGUUGAUUGAGAUGGUUGGGCUGGCUGAGCUGAAGGAAUGCUUAGCGACGCUGGCCGGAAAAGCUGUCCUGGACUGGUUGUCAAAGUAAAUGGUGUGCCUGAACUUUUAUUGCCAGAUGUACCAAAGGAGGCACCAAAAGGAUUAGACUUUUGAGGACUUGAAGAAGGCUGGGACCCAAGGCCGAAUCCACCAAGGGCUCCCAAGUUCAGUUCGGCACUUGCAGAAGGUGCCUCCUCUUCCAUGUCAUCUUCAUCGGUUGAGAUGGUGUCAGUGUUUGGUCCUACAUUUUUUCCUGUGGAAGUGAAAACUGAUUCCGAUGUUGUUGGUGCUGUUUGAGGAGCAGAGACAUGAGUAGAAGGCAAGCUGGCGCCAGUUGUUGGAGGCACUGAAGGUUUGCUUUCAGUGACUGAUAUGACAGAAGUCGAACUUGCAGAAACUAUGGUACUAGUUACCUUUGAUAUUAGCGUUUCAGGUUUGGAAGCAUUUUGACUCAAUCCAGUUGAUGAAUCCUUAGCAGGAGUAGGGACUGAGCUAGACACAGUACCCCCAGGUACUAUUGGAGAAACUUUCUGCAUUGAGCUAGAUAAAACAUCUGAAGUUUUCGCACCUGAUGUGGCUGAAGAAGAAACAGUCGGCCUUAAGGAGUAUGAAUUGGUCUGAGUAACAGGAGCUGGCAAGAAAGCAGAAGGUUGAGGUGCCAUUUUGGAGGUAUCUUUCACAGUGUUCUGCACAGCAUCGCCAACCCCACUUAGCUGGUCAGUCUUCUCAUGUAAUGCAGCAGGCUUGGAAUGUUCAGAAUUAAAAGACGAUUUGUCGAGAUCUCUAAAUAUGCCACCCUUGUUCUGCAGAGAAGCACCCGGUCCUUUUAUGUUCCCCAAAGAUGGCAUUGACUGACCAUCCUGUCUGUUCUUCAUAGUUAAUGUAGGCAAAUCUCCAGACUCCCCAGCAGUUUUUACAGACAGUGGACUUAGAGAAGUUUUUGGAGCUGUUAUAGAAGGUAAUAUAUUUGGCUCUGUGUUGGCAUUACUUUUAGGGCUUAUAGUGGUUUUGAAGGUUAGAGUAUUUGGCUUAGACACAGUAUGUUUUGUUCCAAAGGAUGGAACACUGGAUGGGUUGAUACUAUCUUGUGCACCCAUACGUGUGUAACUGAAUGAUGGUGGUGAAGAUGGUGUCAGUUUUGAAGACUGUGCAGUACUUUUCAUUUGCCCUGGUAACUCGAAAUGCUUUUGCUCUGAGGUUUGAGAUGACCCAGUUGAUUCCUUUACCCAUUUGAACAAAGGGUUCUGUUGGGGUCCUGACAGUUUAUCGUUUACAUCUGAAAUUGCAGGAAAUCAUAUGUAAGAAUUACAAAGACUGAUGAUAUAAUAAGAAUCUUCGUGAUCUUAAUAGAAACCCCAGAAAAUUGAUGUCUAAGGCUUGUAGAAACUUACCUUCACUCAGAGAACGCAGUCUGCUUACAUAUGAUUCUACUAUAGAUGAAUUGGAGCUAUCGCUUGACUUUUCCUGUGAUAUUGCUGCCAUUUGAGAAUCAAAUAUUUUCUUGUUUGACCUGAAUGGUAGAUCACUGCUGAUCUUGAGGCGUUGUUGCUGUGUUAUUCUUUUAACAGUUGUUUUCUGAGGUUCCAAACUAGCCAGGCUCUAAAAAUUUGACAAAUUAUUUGCAGUCAGAUUUAUUGCUUAUCCACCACAUGAAGAACAAUAUGUAAUAGAAACAAAGACCCACAUCUUCUUUCCAUGUAAUGUGCAUGUUACAUGACAAAAUGCGAUGUUUUCGGUCUACCGGUAUAGGCUUAAUAACUUACCAUAUCCAGUGAUUCCCUCCUCCUUCGAGCAGUCUCAGGCUCACCACCCUUGGAAGACCCUAAUAUUCCCUUUGAAUGCUCAUUCACUGAUGGAAACCGCUUAACUGGCUUAGGAGUGCUGCCUGAAAAUUUGGUUGCAUCAGUUGUGUGGGCUAAACCAAUUGACUCAAACAACUUUUUGGUCACCAUCCCCUGCUUCCUACUAGGAGAACCAAUAUUUAACACAGAUAUCUGCUUUGAAAGGCAUUCAGAUAGCUGCUCAGCAGCUGCCAACUGCGAGUUCAGUGCACUAUAUACACUGGAUAAUUGUGUCUGACUGAAAAUAAGAAGUGAGAAAUAGUUUAAAAUCAUUGUAUUAAAUAAAUAUCCACAAAAGAAAAGGUGAAACAAAACACACGUACUAUUGAUCACUGAUAAAUAGAACUACAUACACAAGAAACUUAGUUAUUAUCAAGAAAGAGCAUCUAAAAAAUAGCAAAUCAUACUAUAUAAUUAUAUAGACUAAUCAAUAUGAAUGAUGCUAACCAUACAAUGUGCAGAGAAUUUGAGUUUGUUACAAACAAAAAAUACAGAACAAGAGAGUAUUUUCAUCAAAAUAUACUGGUGGGAACAAACAUAAAAGUAAAAUGUUACAUGCAUUUAUGCGCUACAUAGUCGCUUUGAAAGGAGCAGAGCAUAAAACGGCCACUUAUUCAGUUGUUUGUCAACAAAUUGAUGAUAAUCACUAAAUCUGUAUAAAAUUUGUAGCAAGAAGGUCUAACAGUUAAAUACCUCGAACUUGUCUUGUUAGAAUAAACAGCUCUUCGAUUAGAAGCCACUCUUCCUGUUUCACUGGAUCUGUUCAUCUCCAGAUUAUUGAAGUGCCUCUCCAGCUCAACCAGCUGAUUUGUCAAAUCCUGUAUUACAAAGGACAUAUUAUUCUCCUCUAAAGUCAUACAAACAAAUGAAGUUAGUCAGAAUGUUAGAUACUGAUACCUGGUUAGCUCUGAGAAUAUUUUGUCUCUUCACUUCGAAUUCUGGACUCAAUUUCUGACGGUUCCAUAUAUCCCAGUACUGAUUAUCUGAAGACUGGCUAACAAUUCCUUUCAUGUAAGUUUGCCUAGCAGAAACUGAAGGGGACAAUAAUGUAACAUAUCAGCCCACGUUUUCUGGUGGCUUCAUUCAUUUGUAAGUGAUCCAAUGAAGCAAAUUAAGCAUAGCUAUUAAUCAAGAAUAAUCAUUUGUAUUUCUUCAAAGUUAAUUCCAGACCACGUUGGUAUGAAUAACUGCAUAUGUAGUUUUCAUGAUUACAAUGGUACACACAUACAUCACAAACAAUGGCAAAAAUGACAUGAAGUAUUUAUCCUGCAAAAGCAUAUCAUUUUGAUCAAAUAAUUUCUUUCAGGCGUGAAGAUAUGUAAGGGAGCAAGAAAAAAAAGGUGUACCAUGUUCUACCUAAUUACUAAAAAGAUAGUCAAAAGAACAUACGAAUAUCUCACCUUGAAACAUGUUGUUCCUCAGAUCUUCAAUUUUUGAACAUUGCUCCUCUACUUUGCCCUGGGGUUUAAAACAAGCAUAUAUGUUUAGUAAAGUUUUAUAAUAGAGGAAUGGACAGCACCCCAGACACAGUUGAGGGUCACUCGUAAUUAUGAUAUACCUUGAAGACCUGCAACAGCUGCAAAAAGUUUUGUAAGCCAUCCUCAAACAUAGAAAGAGGACGCUGUUGGAUGGUUAUGCAGGCAUCUCUAAAACCACCAUCCUUUUCUAUAUAUGCUAGUAGGGCAUCUAACUCCUUCGUCAUUUCAUUUAUCUGUAACAAAGGGGACAAACUUUAGUGUCCGAGACAGACAAGAUGCCAAAGUAUGUAGGUGAUGCGCCAUGAGGCAACAAAUAAGACAUGCACUUAUUACUUAAAAGUUCCUUGCAUCGGUGAUAGUAUUUCCUAGAGGCCUGGGGAAAGUAAAUAAAGGUAGAAAAAUAUAAUAAUUAAACAUGUUCAGCUGUCUUACACUGUAAAAUUUUUUAGACAAGUCUUGUUCAGAAUCGAAUCCUGUGCCCUUCUUGGAGUUUCUAGAAUAUUCUGCCGGUGCUUGUGUCCUGCUGUUAUGUGAUUUGCCCAUAGAUUGCUGUGACGGAGGUGAUCCACGCAAUGAUUGAGGUGCUUCAGAGUUUGCUGUCCGAAAUCCACUUGAUGAAUAUCCAAUUGGGGAAGGUUUAGCCGGAGAUAUAGAUGAUGAAGGUACAGAGCUUAAGGCAACUGGAGCACCAAAAACUUUUCUAUCAGCGGUGUAACUGGUUUGCAGCGAAGGAACUCCAAAACCAACCUCAUUCCUUUCUCCGAUCUUGGCAGGGACAGAUCCACUAGAGGUGAAUAAUGAAGACUUGAAACCAUAGACAUUGCCAUCUUUAUUGGAGUUUUGAGAUCCACCAAAUAUUCCCACUGAUUGAACUGAAUCCAGGCCUUCUUUACCAGUUUGGUUGUUUCCAAAACUUCUGCUGCUUGGUUGCAAGGAAGAAGCUAAUUCAUUAGGUGCAUUGCCUCCUGUUGGAUUCAUGCCUUCAGUAGAAAAGCUGGAAAAUAUUGUAGGUUUUGUGUUUCCUGUUAACGCUAAGCUACGCAAGGCUGCAGGUGGACCAGUCACAUUCACUUGCUUGGUGUCUAAGGGCUUCUUAUUGGAAGAGAUAAACAAUGAAUUGUCAGUUGUUUCCUGUUCUUUUGAAGCUGAGCUACUGUUUUUCACAUUUAUUGAUUCCUGCUGGUUGCUACCUGCAAGGAUAUAACAUAAGGGUACUUUAGUUUUCAAAAGCACUUGGACAAACAAAAGAAUAGCUCAUCAAAGUGCAACUUAGAAGCUCUUGGCUAUCAUCCUUUUACCUGUUUGCGCACUAGAUGGCUCAGCACCAUGUUCUGUGAGAGUACUCUUAUAUACUGAGCCUGCAACACUUGGAGUCAACUCCUUUUCAGAUACAGUUGCAGGUGAAAUAUGUUUUUCACCAUAGUCCUCAUUGGUAGACACAGUAGCAUGAGGUAAAUCAGAAGGGUCCGAAAUCCUAAACAAUAUGCAGUGUCAAUACAAAAAAGUUUCUCCAAAAGAAGUUCAAGAUUUAGAAGUUUGCCUAAAGUGACCAAAUUUUCACAAUAUUAGGCUGACAAAUAUCAACAAACAAUGUUUACCUGGCGAGGUAAUAUACAGCUACUUUGCCCUCACCAGUCAAACAUAGGAGAAUAUGUUGAGGGGCAACCUCCUUUUGUUCAGGUCCAACUGGUACAGUGAUCUUUUGAAAUAAUGAAACAUUCUCAACACCAAACCCUAGUAUGACAUUGUCAUCGCCAUUCUCUGAAAAAUCAUAAAGAAGACCACAACUGUUUAGACUUCAUUUUCGAAGAAGCAAAAGCAACAGCAUAUCAUAAAAGCCAUGUUUCCUGGGAUAGGAUUUACCUUGCAAGUCAAUCCUAGGACUGUAUUUAUCCUCCAACAUUUCAAGAUAUGUUACAGUUUUUUCAUCAUCAUGUGCAGAUGGCCACUUAAGAAGGGCAAUGUGUUCAUCGACGCUCUUUUUAUUGGAAGCCACCAUGAGACCCCUAAAAAUUAUUUUUAAAAAAAAUCCCACUUACAAGUUCCCGCCAGAGAAGAGAAAUGCAUACAGAACCUAGUAAGCAAAUAAAUAUCAACGUGCACAGCAUAUGGGCUAGCAAAAAAAGGGUGGAUCUCACCUGACUAUAUCCCUUUUUUAUCUAAUGUACUCCCUCAAUUUUAAAUUAGAAGACAUUUUGGCUUUUCUAGAUUCAUAGCUUUUGCUAUGUAUGUAAAUAUACACUAUCUAGAUACAUAGUAAAAGCAAUGUAUCUAGAAAAGCCGGAUGAAGUAGUAAUAUUGAAAUCCAACAAAGCAACACCAGCACAACAAUAAAAAGGCUAAUAGAUUUUUUAUCCUAAAUUACAUAUAGAAGACCCCAUUGCAUGGUAAGAGAACCUAGCAAGCAAACAAAGUAAGAGAAGACAAAAUACACAUGGUUACGCCCUUGUUGAGGUAUACAAUUUACUGGUAUGUGCCAUCUUUCAUAUCGUACCUAUUGCUAUAGGGGCACUGUCUGGAAAAUAUUCACUAAGUCACUAUAUAGUAUAUAUUCCCUUGAUUACGAAUCAAGUGGUAAAUGGGGACUAUUAAAAAAACUUCACUUGGGGGAGAAAUAUUCCCCAUGUCUAUCAAGUGGUAAAUGGGGACUAUUAAAAAACUUAACCUGGGGACAAAUAUCCCCCAGUUUGGGGGGGGGGGGGGGAUUGACCCCAGACUUCGGCCGUCUAAGUAUCACAUGACUACCAAUUGUGUACAAUGCCAUGUUUUUAAUAAGGUGAGUUGAUCGAUCAAGGAUUUCCUUCUUCAAACAUUUUUUGGUGAAAUCCAUGCAUAAAAAUCAUUUUCCACAUCAGUACUCAAAAUCUGUCCAAUAACAGCCUACCAAUAUACAUUUUGAGAAUACUCAAGAGCCUAGGUUCACAUACCAGCGAUGCAGAUAACCCAAAAGAAGAUUAGGUCCAGCUCCGGGUGGUAAAACAUCAUCCAUAAUGCCAUGGAAAAAAUCGUUAUAGGUAUAAACAUCUGUCUUGCCUGGGCUCUGUAAGCACAUUGCAGAAGUAACAGUCAGUCCAACCAAUUAGUACUGUAAUAUUUGUUAAGAUAAUAAUUACAUAGAUAUGUUUUACUAACCCUUGCCAAUAAAUGAUACAAUCAUAAACCAUUUUUAGGAUUUAAUUUGUGUUAUCCGAGAGUUGAAGGCUAUACACAAAAACAUAGACACAAUUUUAGCUUGCAUAAAUCCCCACCAAGAAACAUGAACUUGGCAAACAUUCAGAUUAUAUCCUUGAAACAUGAUUUGCCACUUUGCUGUGGUCUGGCCUGACUAUGCCCAGAGAGAGAUAUGUAGCUAUUGAAGCAACUUUGUACACACAUGUUCCUAAAAGUAUAUGCAAAUGAAACUUUGGCUAUGUGCCCGAAGAGAGAUCUCUAGCAAUUGAAGCAACUUUAUACAAGCAAGUUGCUAAAAUAUAUGAAAAUGAAACUUUAGCUAAAUAGCACAUCACGUGAUAUGAAUCCGGCGACAGCAAAAAAGGCGUCUAGAGGACCAGCUAACCUCACAAAAUGUGCUUUCUUCAGUCCUUAUAACUUGAACAAGGUAUCCUUCUUCAUUGUCAUCUUCGUUUAAUCGAACACACCCAAUAACAAUACUAUCACCAUGUACCCAGCCAAUAGAAUCCACUGCUCGCAAAUAGAAAUCGUCAAUAAUGAACAAUAAAAGUACAUACUGAAUUCAAUUAAGCUGCAAGUAAACCAGUAACAUACAAAACAAACUGAUGACUCUAUGUCCUAUGUAUACAUCUCAAAGUUUAUGGAGCAAAUGUCAAAAAAAGAAGACUUUACUAAGGGGCUCUAGAUGACAAGAUAUCUCACAGUUUCCUAAGGGGCUAUCCAUUUUAUCACUGGUUCCUCAGUAUAUAAUUGUACAGGAUGACUAAGAUACAGCAAGUCAACAACUAGUUUUUUCACCGCUGAUUCAUAAAUACUUUAUACUUGUUCCAAGAAUCCCUGACCAUCCAAUAAGUGAGCAUCAUACAUAGACUUUGGUGCUCACAAUUUUUUUCAUUAAGACUCUGGCGCUUUUUGUGCAUACUUCAUCUCGUGGUCGGACUCUUCUCCUUUAUGUUGAUGAUAUGAUCAUCACAGGAGAUGAUCCUGAAUAUAUUGCCUUCGUUAAGGCACGUCUUAGUGAGCAGUUUCUCAUGUCUGAUAUUGGUCCUCUUCGUUAUUUCCUUGGGAUAGAGUUUUCCUCUUCAUCUGAGGGUUUUUAUCUGUCCCAAGAGAAGUACAUUCUAGACCUUCUUGAUUGGACCUCUCUUACUGAUUAGUGGACAGUUGACACUCCUAUGGAACUCAAUGUUCAUCUCCGUGCCAAGGAUGGUGAAGCUCUUGAAGAUUCUACUCGUUAUCGUCACAUUGUUGGGAGUCUUAUUUGUUACUUGUCCUGAUACCUCAUACUCUGUACACAUUCUCAAUCAGUUUGUUUCCGCCCCCACUCAGCUUCACUAUAGUCACUUGCUCCGGGUUCUACGUUAUCUUCGUGGAACUAACUCUCGUCGUUUGUUCUUUCCACGAUCCAACUCUUUACAGCUCCAAGCAUAUUGUGAUGCUACUUGGGCUAGUGAUUCCUCUGAUCAUCGUUCUCUUUCUGUCUAUUGUGUUUUUCUUGGUGGUUCCCCCAUUGCUUGGAAUAUUAAGAAACAUGUAGUGGUUUCUCGUUCGAGUGCAGAGGCUGAGUUACGUGCUAUGGCUCUUGUGACUGCGGAGGUUACUUGGUUGCGGUGGUUGCUUGAGGAUUUUGGUGUCUCUGUUUGUAUGCCAACUCCUCUUUUGUCUAACAUUACAGGUGCUAUUAGUAUUGCUUGUGAUCCGGUAAAGCAUGAGCUUACCAAGCAUAUUGGUGUUGACGCUCAUUAUACACGAGCACAGAUACAAGAUGGUGUUGCUGUCAGAGCUUCAGCUAGCAGAUUUCUUCACCAAGGCACAAACCUGAGCUCAGCAUCGAUUUUAUCUCUCCAAACUCAGUAUUCUUGAUCCACCUUGAGUUUGAGGGAGGUGUUAGAGAUAUAUGUAUAUAUUUGUAUUUCCCCUUCCAUAUUUGUAAUCUCAUGUACUUCUAUAUAUUCGGGCCUAGAGCCCUCGUAAUAUACUCAUGACUCAUCAAAAAAUAUAGAACAAAAAAGCCUUAGUCCCAAGCAAGCUGCCAAGCUGGGGUAGGAUGAGGGAAAUAAUAUUAACAAAACAACAAUAAGAUUAAAAUUAGAGCAUUUCAUUCUGUAUCUAGGGAUUGUAAUCUAGAAUUAUAGACUACACAAGAAAUAGGUGUAUGGUUACCUUUGAUGGUAGUGCCCUUUGAAUCACUUCCGUCAGACCACAACUGGAACAAGAGGGACAUGGAGCAUGUUUCCGUAAAAUCUGGUGAUAAUAUGGUAAGUUUGUUCCCUCUUGCAACAGCAAUAUGAUUUCCUUCUUUGCAACAGUCAACUAUAUACAUUUCAAAAAGAUAUCUUACUUCAGUUUGAAAACAAAAAUCAGUUUGAAAACAAAAACAGUGAUUGUGUUUCAGUUACAACAUUGCAUCAGUGAUGGUUAGCAAAAAACUAACUUUGCAAAAAAAAUACAAAGCAGAAUGCAUAAAGACCUCAGAGUAAACAGUGCAUCUGAAGAUAAAUAUAAUAAUUUGCAUUACUAUUUGUGUACACUUGUACAGAUCUCUGAUAAAUUUAAUGUAGCCAGCCUUGUUAAGGUAAAGGAUUUGUUGUUGUUGUGACUUGUGAGGUGUUGUUAAGAGUAGCCAUUAGAGAAAAUAGAUCACGAGAUUAUCCUAUUGGUUGUGACUGCAAUUUCCUUUAUAUAGAAACUUGUAGCAUGUAAGUAAUGGGUGUUUUCAUUUGCAUGUAUCAUCUAUGCUACAACAUUUGGAAACUAUAGAAUCAUCAUAGAACAAUGAACAUUGUCCAGUAAACACUAAAGCAUUAUUCGCACCACUGAACUUCACUUAAAUAGAAUUAAUUAGUUUCUAUAGUGAAGUACAUGACAUAUUUGACACACUAAGAAUGGGACCUGCAUCGACGUUUUCCAUCACAUCUUUCAGGCCUUCACCCAAAUUCCCAUGACACAGCAACCCACCAUUUGAGAGUACAAUAUAUGCUGCAGAGGCAUGAUUUAACCACUUGAAAUCUUUCACAGUGACAGCUCGUUCCAGGCUACAUGAUGAGGAUGGUACCACGUCCUGUGCAGCGCAAUUGCUAAGAAAUGUUAUAAUCUUGACAAAAGCCAUGACACCCUGACAGAAGCUUGUGAACAAACUAAUGGAGCUGAAAACAGAUCAGAUCAAUAAACAGUGCAAUACAGGCCUUAUCCAGCAGCACGAAAGGAAUAACCAAUCUGAACUCGUACAGGUCCUACUACUCGGAGAGAAGCAUACAUGGUUGAUAUGCCCCUAGUCCAUUGCUGACUGUAGUGCUCUUACAUGAAAAGGUCACUCAAGUUUGUGAAGAAACUGAAUUAAACAGUAAGCUAAACUAGUCUUCUCAUUUCACGUACCACUGCACUAGCCUAUAUAGAAAUACAGCAUGCACAAACUUUGCAGAGACCCUUAGAAAAAUUGAUAACCUUAUGUGUGAGCAGAGACGCCAGCGAGAAGAACUGGAUCUCAGUAUGUGUGCAGGCGGCUAACACGGACUCAUCAUGGGAGAGCGCGAUAAGGGAUACACCGGGGAGGGGCACGUCGGCGACGCAGCAGUCCUGCGCGCAGCGAGUGCUCGACUUGCCCUUCUCGCGCGCCUCCUUGCUGGCUUCGAUUAACUCCUUGGUCCUCACAGCUAUAAACCCUGUAAAUCGAAUGACAAUCCCUAGUUAGGCGGUGAGAUCGAGAUGGGAAUGCCGAGCGGAGUAAACAUUCGGCUCGGUGAUACCGCUGGGGUGGGCGAGGAAGACGGUGGCGUGUCGGUCGGAGACGGCGAGCGGGCGCGCGGGAGGGGACAGCAGGUCGAAGAGCGGGAGCGGGUUGGAGUCGGUCGGGAGGAGCGGGAUGGGGUCACCGGCAAGGCGGAAAACAAAGUCGGUGGUGCCGUCCUCCUCGCCCUCCACCUCGUCGGAGAGCUCGAGCUCGCGCGGCGCCCCCAUGGCCAGCCACUGCGGUGGCUGUAGGGUUAGGGUUUUGGAUGGGAGGGAGCAGUGAAGGGGUUUGGUAGUUUUUCACGGCGACGCUUUAGUGGGUGGCUCGGCGUGGUGUGUAAGCAGAGUGACCGCCGCCGGCCAUGGUGAUGGCCUGGUUCAUCAGUUUUUAUUGAUUGAUUUCAUUCGCGAAAACAAUGGACUUUUGAGUUGAGCUUUCGGAUCAAGGAAGGUCCGCGGAGUGAGGCUUGUAUGUUGUAUCCUAGAAUGCACUGUUGACAAGGUAGACUUUAAAAUAAAAGUUGAGUAAAAGUUGAGAUGAGUAAAAGCUGGUGAAGACAAUAGUCUUUUUUUUCUUAGACUAUCUUCAGCGAAGGUAUUCAGAAUGUAUUUGAUUCAACUUUGUGAACAAUAUUUGCUGUCAAAAUCUAGAAAUCUAACUAAAUAGUUAUAACACUAGAAUAGGAUCCUGAAAAAUCUAUAGAUUUUUUUAGUUCAAUUCAAAAUUACCUCUUAUCCCAAUUUUUCAUAAUAUUGUCAUCCAUGUUACAAGUUAUCAUUCUUUUAUAAAAUCAGUGUCGUCCCUAAGGAGAUGCGGGAGUGUGGCCACGCCAAUCCCCCAAAAAGAGUGAGGAACCAAACCGCGCACGGAUGUUAGUAUGUUAGAGAUUUAGACUGUUAUACUAAUGACUCAAUUGCUUAUCGAAUAUUAUUUACUACACUCGUGAUUUUGCAUCGAUUAAAAAAGUCUUUUCAAAUUUAAAAUUAUUGAUGAAUUGUUUGAGAUCAACAAUAAUUCAAGAGAGGUUAACCAAUGGUAUAGUCGAUGAUUUUAUAUCACAAAAUGUUAAAAUAUAUUCUUAGCAUUAUAUCAAGUAACAAAUGUUUAUGGCUACAUUUUAUAUUUGCCAUCUUAUAAACUUUUAAGUAUUGAAUAAAAGUUUUAUAUAUUGGAUAUUCAAUAAUAUGUGUAUACUAUUAUAUAUACAUAAAUAUAUAUUAUAAUAUAAUGGGUCGGUAUAUUAGAAGCCCAGGACAGGUGUCUCCUAGUCCACACCAACCACCCCAGGUUCGUACCUAACAACCACGCACCAGGUCAAACCUCCUCCACGCGUUUUAGUUAAACCUCUAGGAUAACACCCAACCACGCUAUAAAAUGUGUUUUUUUGCAUAAAUAGCAUAAAUAGUUUAAAAAUAUCGUAAAUGCUUUAUAGAGAUAGCAUAAAACCUGCUGCUACUGGACCACAUCCACAUACAUAGAUGCAUGCAUGCAGAUCCUAUUUUUAUGGUACAUCCGAUAAUUAGGCAGGUUAUAUGAGUUUUCAUUGCAAGUGCGAAAGAUUUGGAUGACAUUUUCGUUUCCACUACAUACGCACAAAAAUUGGAUGUCCCCCAAAAUAUAGGAUCGCUCCAACAGCCAUGAAGUUAGGCUCGUUAGAACAAGUUUAUGAUAUAUACCGAGGGUCCGUUUGGUAGAGCUCUAGCUUGUCCAAAAACAGCUCUAACUAUGGCUUUUCCUAAAAAGGAGCUUUUUGGUAGAGCUGAAGCCAUUUCGCAAAUCAUUUUGUAUAAACAGAUUAUCCUAGAGCCGAAGUCAUUUCUCUAUAUUAAAGUGCUAGAGCCAGGGUAAAGUCAGUGAAGCUACUAUUUGUGGCUUCUUAUGCGAAGUACAAAAAUGGCUCUGGUUUUUAGGUGCUUUUCGCAGUAAGAUGUUUUUAAAAUGGUGUUUGGCAGGUGUCGGCGUUUCGAGACAGGGGGGUCCCUAAGCCGACGAGUGAGUGUGUUGCGUGCCCCAGCCCAGAUGGGUCGAGCGCGUGGGCGAGCGCGAAGGGGGGAGAGGCGAGGUGGCCGGAGUCGAGCGUGAGAGAGGUGGAAGUCCCGCGGCCUUCGUGUUCGUCCCGCGCCCAGGUCAGGUGCGCUUGCAGUAGGGGGGUUACAAGCGUCCACGCGGGUGAGGGAAGCGAGCGGCCCCAAGAGAGCGCCUGUCCCGUCCUCGGUCCCGCGCGGCCAACCCUCUCUAAGAAGGCCCUGGUCCUCCCUUUUAUAGUCGUAAGGAGAGGAUCCAGGUGUACAAUGGGGGGUGUAGCAGAGUGCUACGUGUCUAGCGGAGGGAGAGCUAGCGCCCUAGGUACAUGCCAAUGUGGCAGCCGGAGAGAUCUGGGCACCCUGCUGGCGUGAUGUCGUGGCUGUCGGAGGUGCGGCGGAGCCUGGCGGAGGGACAGCUGUUGGAGCGGUCGAGUCCCUGCUGACGUCGUCCUGCUUCCGUAAGAGAGCUGGGGGCCGCCGUCGUCAUAGAGCUUGUGGAGCGCCAUCAUUGCCCCUCCGGCGGAGCUGGCCGGAUGGGACGCCGGUCUUGUUCUCUGUGACCCGAGUCGAUUCGGGGUAGGAUGAUGAUGGCGCUUCCUGCUGACGUGGCGGUCUGUGCCCUAGGCAGGGCGACGUGGGGGUUCCUCCGAAGCCGAGGUUGAGUCUGUCUUCCGUUGCCGUGGCCGAGCCCGAGCCAUGGGGUCGGGCGAGGCGGAAGUCGUUCGGCCGAGGCCAGGGCGGAGUCCGAGCCCUGGGGUCGGGCGAAGCGGAGUUUCGUCGUCUUCCGGGUGUUAGCCCGAGUCCGAGCCCUGGGGUCGGGCGGAGCGGAGUUCGCCGUCUUCCGGGUCUUAGCCCGAGUCCGAGCCCUGGGGUCGGGCGGAGCGGAGUUCGCCGUCUUCCGGGUCUUAGCCCGAGUCCGAGCCCUGGGGUCGGGCGGAGCGGAGUUCGCCGUCUUCCGGGUCUUAGCCCGAGUCCGAGCCCUGGGGUCGGGCGGAGCGGAGUUCGCCGUCUUCCGGGUCUUAGCCCGAGUCCGAGCCCUGGGGUCGGGCGGAGCGGAGUUCGCCGUGGCGCCUUUGGCAAGGCCUGACUGCCUGUCAGACUCACUCUGUCGAGUGGCACUGCAGUCGGAGUGGCGCAGGCGGCGCUGUCCUUCUGUCAGACUGGCCAGUGGAGCGGUGGAGUGACGGCGGUCACUUCGGUUCUGCCGGGGGCGCGUGUCAGGAUAAAGGUGUCAGGCCACCUUUGCGUUAAAUGCCCCUGCAAUUUGGUCAGUCGGUGUGGCGAUUUAGUCAAGGUUGCUUCUGAGCGAAGCCAAGGCCUCGGGCGAGCCGGUGAUGUGUCUGCCAUAAAAAGGGGGCCUCGGGCGAGACGGAAGUCUCUCGAGGUCGGCUGCCCUUGGCCGAGGCUAGGCUCGGGUGAAGCGUGAUCGAGUCACUCGUGUGGACUGAUUCCUGACUUAAUCGUACCCAUCAGACCUUUGCAGCUUUAUGCUGAUGGGGGUUACCAGCUGAGAAUUAGGCGUCUUGAGGGUACCCCUAAUUAUGGUCCCCGACAGUAGCCCCCGAGCCUCGAAGGGAGUGUUAGCACUCGCUUGGAGGCUUUUGUCGCACUUUUUUGCAAGGGGACCAGCCUUUCUCGGUUGCAUUUCGUUCCGGUGGGUGCGCGCGAGCGCACCCGCCGGGUGUAGCCCCCGAGGCCUCAGAGGAGUGGUUACACUCCUUCGAGGUCUUAAUACCUCGUGUAACGCUUCGGCUGGUCUGGUCGUUCCCUCAUGCGAACUGGCCGUAGCCCGGGUGCACGGUCGGGGCCCAAGCUCUCGGGCUGGUAUGUUGACGCUGUCAACGAUUCGGCCGGAGCCGGUUUUUGUGAGAGCAGCCCCCGAGCCUCUGCACAGGGCGAGAGGACGAUCAGGGACAGACUCGACUUUUUACAUACGCCCCUACGUCGCCUUUCCGCAAGGAGGAGGGGGGGAGUGCGUCAUGUUACCCUCGAUGGGCACCGAACAUGGUGUCUCCGGUGAGCUGCAAGCGGGUAAUCCGAGUGGACGUCCGUGCCCCGUUCGUUGGGGGUCGGCUAGGGGCCCAGAGGCACGCCCAAAAGUACCUGCGAGUGAUUUGCCGGACCCGGUCCCCUGGCGACGGGGUCCGAGGGCUCGAUGCCUCCCUCCGAUGGGAUUCCGUUACAAGAUCGUUCCCGCUGGUCUCGGAAAUGUCCUAGGGUACCUCGGGAGCGCAGCCCGAGCCUUGGUUAUGUAUCGAACGUACCCCUGGUCAUCCCUCGCUCGGUGUCUGAGGCGACUGUGAACCCUUCGGGGGCCAGCCUUCGAACCCCUGAUCAGUAAUGGGCGCGGAGCCCGAGUAGCCUGAGGCGGCCAUGGAACCCUUCGGGGGGCUGGCCUUCGAACCCCUGACCAGUAGUGGGUGUCGGGCCCACGCGAUCUGAGGCGGCUGUUGAACCCUUCGGAGGGUCAGCCUUCGAACCCCUGAUCAGUAGUGGGGGGCUCGGAGCCCGGUUCCUUCGCGGAGAAGGAUCCCUUUCGGGGUAUCCCCCUUUCCCGGUCCCUGUUGCAAGAGAUAGAGAAAGAGGAAAACGGAAAAGGAUACGAAAUCGGACGACGUGGCGUACCUUUUCUGACGCGGUUAUUAUGGCGAAGGUGAAGCGUCGCGCGCUCCUCCCGUCAGAGACGCCGCCUGUCCCGCCGCGGAGUUAAUGCGACGGGGCAAGUGGUUGGCGGGGCGGCCGUUGCGCGCGUGCGAUCCGUUCGAGGAACGGGUCACGGGUGCACCGUCUCCACGCCGUGAGAGGAGGCUCCCUUGCUGUCCCAGGAUGGGGCGUGAGCCUGGCUGACGACGCGACCGCUGCGCCCGCCCGCCUGCCACCGCUAUUACUGCUGGCCCGCUUUCGGUCGCUUUGACCGACGCGCCAGGCUGGCGCUGUUGGGUCGCCUCGAGUUGCGGCAUAGGCUCCGCAACCGAAGAGGCGCGAUGGUGGCACAAGUGGCGGUGCGGUUGCUUGCAUGCAGCAACUGGCGCGCCGGUUGCUCGACGCGUGUGCCUGGGUUCCCAAGCUGGCGUGCCAGAAGUCGGAGAAGCGCGUCCAUCUGGCGCGGUUGCAUGCCGCCUGCAUGGCUGCCCGCCCCUUCUGCCCGUUGGUCUGGGCGAAAAUGGAGGGUCGCUUGUAACCGCUGGACGGUCGUGCGCACCACGCGCGGCGGUUUGGCUUCUUCUGCCCUGAGCCGGCUUGCAUGACAUGCGGGACCCAGCCCCCGAGUCGCAGGGGAGGGCCUUGGAGCGUGUUGGAGAAGACUCAGCCCGCGGCGCCUGGGGGCGUACGUAGGGAGAGUUGCCUUUAAAAGGAGGGAGACUCCUUUCGGAAGGCAACCAUGUCUUCUUCCUCCCUUAAGCGUCGUGUCUUCCCAUCUUCCAAGCCCCCGGAUGGGGGGUAUCCGCCGCCUUUCCGCCUCCUCGUUGGAGGAACGCAACUCCAUGGGAGUUGGUACCUCUCAGCCAUCGUUCGGCUUCAAGGAUUUUCAUCAGCCGGCCCGGCCGUACCCCCAUGCCGACGAUCACCCAGGAUGGUGACUGCCGGUUUCUGGGUGGGGAAGAGCAAGCCGGGCUGCGAUCUUGGUCCCACCCUCAGCUUCAAGGAUGUUCAUCAUCCCCGCUGGGGCGGGAGCCACGCCGAGCCGGCGCUCUACCUUCCGCGCGGGUCCGCGGGUCGCCCUUUCCCGCGGCGUUUGGGGGUGGAGGCGCUCGCUGGCCCUGCGGACGGCGCGGACUUAGACAACGUGGGGCUGAUCGACGGCGGGCGUCGUCACCUCCAGCGUGUCGGAGUCGUCGGCCGGGCUUCCGGCGGCCCCUCCUGCCGGAGGGUGACCGCCGCAUCGUGUGCACGGGAGGACCACCCACGAUUCCGCGCGUCGUUAGGGCGGCGCUCGUGUUCUGGGGUGGUCCUGCUUUUGCACUGGGACGGCGCCCUUGCGCAGAGGCCGGCGCCCCACUCGUCUGGGAGGAUUUGAGUGGGGAUCUGCCGGGGGGUCGGUGUCCCCUGCCAUCGGAGCCGAGGCGGAGGCGGCUCGAGAAGUCCUCGUCACCGACGGGAUCACUGCCACCACCCGCGCCCCGGGCCACCGCGCCGGCGUGCUUGUCCUCGCCCCUCGAGCGUCGGCGGGGGCGAGGGCAAGAUCGCAGCAGCGCCGGCCCACUGUCGCCGUAGUCAGGACGGGCGGCGGCGAGCCGGCCGUCGGUCUUCUGUUGCUCCGCAGGCCUUCCCCAUGGAGUGGGGUCGUUCGUACCUGCGGAGGGGGGAACCGGAGUUCCGUUCGUAAUGGCACUUCGAAUGCCAGUUGUUUUUUGUUCAUUGUGGCUGUCGGGGCCUGAACAUGUAUGUAAUUUCGGCACGGAGCCGUGUUUUUUCCUCAUUUUCGAGCACUAAGUCUCGCCUGUUGAUUAUCUGAACCGAUUUACCAAGCAUGAGUCGCCCCGUGUCAAGGUGACGGGUGAGGUAUCCGUAUCCCGGAGGCGUAGGAAUCCCUCGGCCCGUUCGGCCUUGUUGUCUGGGGCUCCUCUAGCUUAGUUAAAGAGACCCCUCGGCCGCCCUUCGGUGGACCGAGGCCAGGGGUAGCGAUAUCAGUAUGAACAGAGGCGGAGUUGGCUCGAGAAUGGGAACCUGGUUGGCCGGAGCCUAGCCGUGUUGUCCGUCAGCGGAGCCGACGCCAAAGUCGAUCAGUCGAGGCCUCGGGUCGGGCUGGCGCCCUUGGAAGCCAGUUGACCGAGGCCCCAGGGGUAACCGGUCGAGCCGCCUGCUCGGGCCGGAUUCCCGGAGGAGUCCCUGGACCGCGUCGCCGCCCGAGGCUGGGUCGGGCUUUGCUGAAGACGUCGUUGAUGCCGAGGGUGCUACGGCUCCCUUCAGCGUGAAGACCCGAGCCUGCAGGAUCAGAUCAUCUUGUAGCGUGUGCUUUCUGCGGCCGCCGAGGCCAGAAAAACACACCCUCGCCGCGCUUGCGAAGCUGCGUCUUUUUUCCUCUUGUUUCGAGCAUCUGGACUCUGUCGGUAACAGGGAUGUUUGUGUGAGCGAGAGUUGCUUUUCGCGGAAGGGACGAGUGAGGUAUCCGUAUCCCAGAGGCGUGGGAAUCCCUCGGCUCGGUCGGCCUUGCCGCUUACGCGUACUUUCACCCGUCCAUGAGGCCCUGUCCCCGACUUAGUCGAGAAAGCUUGAAGGACUGCUUCGGCAGGAGAGCUUCCGAACGUGAAGACUUGUUCGGUCCACGGAGUCGCUUUAUCCGAGCGCAAGUUACUUAUCGCAGAAGGUGAUGAGUGAGGUAUCCGUAUCCCGGAGGCGUAGGAGUCCCUCGGCUCGGUCAGCCUUGGCUGCUUACGUGUACUCCGUCGUUUCCAGGAUCCGCUUUCCGAAGUAGUCAAGAAGCACGAAAGAAAUCCUGCUAAAAAGAGAUCCUUUUUCGAGGAAAAAUUCGACGCAGAGGGGGUCUCCCCCCUUUUAGCCCCCGAGGGAGGGUCGGGCUUUGCCGAGGCUAGGCCGACCCUUCCUUGACGACUAAACUUUGCGUAGGUGCGAGGUAUAUGAACAACUUGAAAACAUCUUAAGGGUAGAAGCGACGUAGCUGUUUGAUGUUCCAAGCGUUGCCGUAGAUCUCGCCUUGAUUGUUGGCCAACUUGUAUGUUCCGGGCUUCAGAACUUUGGCGAUGACGAAUGGCCCUUCCUAGGGGGGCGUGAGCUUGUGCCUCCCUCGGGCGUCUUGCCGCAGCCGAAGCACCAGAUCGCCCACCUGGAGUUCUCGGGACCGGACCCCUCGGGCGUGGUAGCGUCGCAGGGACUGUUGGUACCGCGCCGAGUGUAGUAAGGCCCUGUCCCGAGCUUCCUCCAGCUGGUCCAGCGAUUCCUCUCGGCUAGCUUGGUUGCUUUGUUCGGUGUAGGCCCUCGCCCUCGGGGAGCCGUAUUCCAGGUCAGUGGGCAAGAUAGCUUCAGCCCCGUAGACCAGGAAAAACGGCGUGAAGCCCGUGGCACGACUCGGCGUCGUCCUUAGGCUCCAGACCACCGAGGGGAGUUCCUUCAUCCAUCGCUUGCCGAACUUGUUGAGGUCGUUGUAGAUCCGAGGCUUGAGCCCUUGUAGAAUCAUGCCGUUGGCGCGCUCUACUUGCCCAUUCGACAUGGGAUGAGCCACGGCGGCCCAGUCCACCCGGAUAUGGUGAUCCUCGCAAAAAUCCAAGAAUUUUUUGCCGGUGGACUGGGUGCCGUUGUCGGUGAUGAUGGAGUUCGGGACCCCGAAGCGAUGGAUGAUGUUGGUGAAGAACGCCACCGCCUGCUCGGACCUGAUGCUGUUCAGAGGUCGGACCUCGAUCCACUUGGAGAAUUUGUCGACGGCGACCAGCAAGUGCGUGUAGCCCCCGGGCGCCUUCUGCAAGGGACCGACGAGGUCCAGACCCCAUACAGCGAAGGGCCAGGUGAUGGGUAUUGUCUGCAGAGCCUGAGCGGGCAGGUGCGUCCGCUUCGCAUAGAAUUGGCACCCUUCGCAGGUGCGGACAAUUCUAGUGGCGUAAGCCACCGCCGUUGGCCAGUAGAAGCCUUGCCGGAAAGCAUUUCCGACAAGGGCUCGGGGCGCUGCGUGGCGGUCGCAAGCCCCCGAGUGUAUUUCUUGCAGCAGUUCCCGACCUUCGGCGAUGGAGAUGCAUCGCUGGAGGAUGCCCGAGGGGCUGCGAUGGUAGAGCUCCUCUUCGUCGCCCAGCAAGACGAAUGACUUGGCGCGUCGCGCUACCCGCCGAGCCUCGACUUGGUCGGGGGGUAGCUCUCCUCGACGGAGAUAUUGCAGGUACGGGGCCUGCCAAUCUUGAUCUGGCGUGGCCCCGCUCUGCCCUUCCUCGACGUUCAGUGCCUCGCCCUCGGAGGCCGAGGGUACCUCGGGCUGUGCCGAGGGUACCUCGGGCUGUGCCGAGGGUACCUCAGGCUGAGCCGAGGGUACCUCGGGCUCGGGCGCGUCGUCGAGCUUGACGGAGGGUUGAUGCAGAUCCCGGGAGAAGACGUCCGGGGGGACUGUCGUUCGCCCUGAGGCUAUCUUAGCCAGCUCGUCUGCGGUUUCGUUGUAGCGCCGAGCGAUGUGGUUGAGCUCGAGCCCGAAGAACUUGUCUUCCAGGCACCGAACCUCGUCGCAGUAGGCCUCCAUCUUCGGGUUGCGGCAGUGGGAGUUCUUCAUGACUUGGUCGAUGACGAGCUGCGAAUCACCGCGGGCGUCGAGGCGUCUGACCCCUAGCUCGAUGGCGAUCCGCAAUCCGUUGACCAGAGCUUCGUACUCGGCCACAUUGUUGGACGCCGGGAAAUGGAGGCGCAGCACGUAGCGCAAGUGCUUUCCGAGGGGCGAGAUGAAGAGCAGGCCCGCGCCGGCCCCCGUCUUCAUCAGCGACCCGUCGAAAAACAUGGUCCAGAGCUCCGGUUGGAUCGGAGUCGUUGGCAGCUGGGUGUCGACCCAUUCGGCCACGAAAUCCGCCAACACCUGGGACUUGAUGGCCUUCCGAGGGGCGAACGAGAUCGUUUCGCCCAUGAUUUCCACCGCCCACUUUGCGAUCCUACCCGAGGCCUCUCGGCUCUGGAUGAUCUCCCCCAGGGGGAAGGAUGACACCACAGUUACCGGAUGAGACUCGAAGUAGUGUCGCAGCUUCCGCCUUGUUAGGAUCACAUCAUACAUCAGCUUUUGAACUUGUGGGUAGCGGAUCUUAGUCUCGAACAGCACUUCGCUGAUGAAGUAGACCGGCCUCUGAACGGGCAAUGCAUGCCCUUCCUCUUGCCUUUCUUCUUGGCGCCGCGCGGAGCAGACGCCUCGGGAGCCUCUUUCGAUGGGCGGCCCUGGGGCUGCUUGUCCUUUCGGAAGAUAGCCUCGACCGCCUCCUGGCCAGAGGCGAACUUGGUGGCGAUGUCCAUCAGCUCGCUCGCCCUGGUGGGGGUUUUGCGACCCAGCUUGCUCACCAGGUCGCGACAAGUGGUGCCGGCGAGGAACGCGCCGAUGACAUCCGAGUCGGUGAUGUUGGGCAGCUUGGUGCGCUGCUUCGAGAAUCGCCGGAUGUAGUCCCGGAGCGACUCCCCCGGCUGUUGCCGGCAGCUUCGAAAGUCCCAGGAAUUCCCGGGGCGCACGUAUGUGCCCUGGAAAUUGCCAGCGAAGGCUUGGACCAAGUCGUCCCAGUUGGAGAUCUGCCCCGGAGGCAGGUGCUCCAACCAGGCGCGAGCAGUGUCAGAGAGGAACAGGGGGAGGUUACGGAUGAUGAGGUUGUCGUCGUCCGUUCCACCCAGUUGGCAGGCAAGGCGGUAGUCCGCGAGCCACAGUUCCGGUCUCGUUUCCCCCGAGUACUUCGUGAUAGUAGUCGGGGGUCGGAACCGGGUCGGGAAUGGCGCCCGUCGGAUGGCCCGACUGAAGGCCUGCGGACCGGGUGGUUCGGGCGAGGGACUCCGAUCCUCCCCGCUGUCGUAGCGCCCCCCACGCCUGGGGUGGUAGCCUCGGCGCACCCUUUCGUCGAGGUGAGCCCGACGGUCGCGUCGAUGGUGCUCGUUGCCGAGGUGGCCCGGAGCCGCAGGCGCGGUGUUGCGCGUGCGCCCGGUGUAGACCGAGGCUUCCCGUAUGAAUCGGGAAGUCGCGGCAUGAGGUUCCAAGGGAUAUCCUUGCCUUCGGGAGGCAGUGCUCUCGGCCCGCCGGGCCGCAGCGCCUUCCAGGAGAUUCUUGAGUUCUCCCUGGAUUCGCCGACCCUCGGUGGUUGACGGCUCUGGCAUCGCGCGGAUGAGCAUUGUUGCGGUUGCCAGGUUCUGACCAAUCCCGCUGGAUGCGGGCGGCGGCCUGAUCCUGACAUCGUUGGCGACGCGGUGCUGGAGACCUUGGGGCAGGUGACGUAUUUCUCCGGCCAGGGGUUGGCCCACCCAUGCCUGUCCGACGUCCCGACGGAUCGGCUCAAGCGCUCCUGUUCCCUCGUUGAGCCUGGCCUGCGCCUCGCGGACUUGCUCGAGUUGUGGGUCGUAACCCCCCGCCGGAGCGGGGACCACAGCUAGCUCCCGUGGGAUGUCGGCGCGAGGCACCGGCCUAGGGAGAUCACCGUCCUCCGGCAUGCCAAGAUGGUUGCCUUCGGAGGGAUCCCCUAGCUCGAUGUGGAAACAUUCGCGGCUUGGGUCGCAGCUCUCGUCGCCAAGGCUGCGGCUUCCAUCGGAACAGUCGGAUAGGCAGUAGUCACAUGCGGUCAUGAAGUCCCGCACGGCACUGGGGUUGCCAAGUCCGGAGAAAUCCCAACCGAUGCUGGGAUCGUCAUCUUCCUCGGACCCAGAGGGCCCGUAGGUCGAGACGUCCGUCAGUCGGUCCCAAGGCGACCGCAUACGGAACCUCAGUGGGGUUGUACUCGCCUCAAUGAGAGCGCCCGCCAAAACGAGGUCGUUUGGCGGGUUGAGGCCGAGUCGAAAUGACGCAAGAUGGGAGUUAGUCGGUACCUUUUGGUCGACGAGGAGCGACGUAGUCACAUCGGGGACUGGUUGCACCGUCAUCUCUGGUUCGAGGGCGACGUCCUGCAGGCUUUCCGCGAGCGCGCCGGCGUCGUCUUCUUGCUCGGGGUCAGCGUGCCGCGGGGGGACGGCGCUUGCCUCCGUCUUGAACGCGAGGUCGACGUCCGGCGUGCCUUCCGUCGGGGCGUCGGGGGCGUCAAUUCGCUCGACGGCCGACGAAGCGCGGCCUCCCACCUGGCCUUGACGGCCCCGCCUCCUCCUCCGUUGGCGGGGGAGAGAACGGAGCGAGCCCGAAUGUUGCCCUUCCACCACGCGGGGAAGACGUCGUCGAUUCCGCCGCCGGCGGGCGGGUUGUCGGCCGCCAUUGUCGUAGUCGCGCGGCGGUGGAAGAAGUAUCAUGUCGUAGCUGCCGUCGAAGGACAUGAACUCAAGAGUCCCGAAACGAAGCACCGUCCCGGGUCGGAGAGGUUGCUGGAGACUGCCCAUCUGGAGCUUGACGGGGAGCUGUUCGUCAGCACGUAGCAGGCCCCUACCUAGCGCGCCAACUGUCGGCGUUUCGAGACAGGGGGGUCCCUAAGCCGACGAGUGAGUGUGCUGCGUGCCCCAGCCCAGAUGGGUCGAGCGCGUGGGCGAGCGCGAAGGGGGGAGAGGCGAGGUGGCCGGAGUCGAGCGUGAGAGAGGUGGAAGUCCCGCGGCCUUCGUGUUCGUCCCGCGCCCAGGUCAGGUGCGCUUGCAGUAGGGGGGUUACAAGCUUCCACGCGGGUGAGGGAAGCGAGCGGCCCCAAGAGAGCGCCUGUCCUGUCCUCGGUCCCGCGCGGCCAACCCUCUCUAAGAAGGCCCUGGUCCUCCCUUUUAUAGUCGUAAGGAGAGGAUCCAGGUGUACAAUGGGGGGUGUAGCAGAGUGCUACGUGUCUAGCGGAGGGAGAGCUAGCACCCUAGGUACAUGCCAAUGUGGCAGCCGGAGAGAUCUGGGCACCCUGCUGGCGUGAUGUCGUGGCUGUCGGAGGUGCGGCGGAGCCUGGCGGAGGGACAGCUGUUGGAGCGGUCGAGUCCCUGCUGACGUCGUCCUGCUUCCGUAAGAGAGCUGGGGGCCGCCGUCGUCAUAGAGCUUGUGGAGCGCCAUCAUUGCCCCUCCGGCGGAGCUGGCCGGAUGGGACGCCGGUCUUGUUCUCCGUGACCCGAGUCGAUUCGGGGUAGGAUGAUGAUGGCGCUUCCUGCUGACGUGGCGGUCUGUGCCCUAGGCAGGGCGACGUGGGGGUUCCUCCGAAGCCGAGGUUGAGUCUGUCUUCCGUUGCCGUGGCCGAGCCCGAGCCAUGGGGUCGGGUGAGGCAGAAGUCGUUCGGCCGAGGCCAGGGCGGAGUCCGAGCCCUGGGGUCGGCGAAGCGGAGUUUCGUCGUCUUCCGGGUGUUAGCCCGAGUCCGAGCCCUGGGGUCGGGCGGAGCGGAGUUCGCCGUCUUCCGGGUCUUAGCCCGAGUCCGAGCCCUGGGGUCGGGCGGAGCGGAGUUCGCCGUGGCGCCUUUGGCAAGGCCUGACUGCCUGUCAGACUCACUCUGUCGAGUGGCACUGCAGUCGGAGUGGCGCAGGCGGCGCUGUCCUUCUGUCAGACUGGCCAGUGGAGCGGUGGAGUGACGGCGGUCACUUCGGUUCUGCCGGGGCGCGUGUCAGGAUAAAGGUGUCAGGCCACCUUUGCGUUAAAUGCCCCUGCAAUUUGGUCAGUCGGUGUGGCGAUUUAGUCAAGGUUGCUUCUGAGCGAAGCCAAGGCCUCGGGCGAGCCGGUGAUGUGUCCGCCAUAAAAAGGGGGCCUUGGGCGAGACGGAAGUCUCUCGAGGUCGGCUGCCCUUGGCCGAGGCUAGGCUCGGGUGAAGCGUGAUCGAGUCACUCGUGUGGACUGAUCCCUGACUUAAUCGUACCCAUCAGGCCUUUGCAGCUUUAUGCUGAUGAGGGUUACCAGCUGAGAAUUAGGCGUCUUGAGGGUACCCCUAAUUAUGGUCCCCGACAGCAGGGCUCUGGCUUUCUUCCACAGAAAAGCCAGAGCCAAAGCUCUGCCAAACGGGCUCUGAUACUAAUUAUGCUACACUGUGUAUGUAUUUAUGCAAUUCAGUACAAUGCGUACAAAUUUAUUUCCUGUUGUAUGUGCAUAAAUUUAGGAUGAUAGGAUUGUGCGAUGAAAGAAAAUGGAUUGACACGCAUGAAAACAAAAAAUCUUAUUUAAAUCAUUUAUUUCCUCAUAGAUAUAGGAUCACUUCGAUAGCUAUGUAGUCGGCUCGUUAGAACUAGUUUAUGAUAUAUACUGAUACUAAUUAUGGUACAUGUUGUAUGUAUUUAUGCAAUGUGGUACACUACGCAAAAUGUGGUUCGCUGGUGGACACAUCUCCGUUUUCGAGCGUAAAAACAUUCAGUUUUGAGCGUAAAAUACUGAUACAACGUGAAAGCUGUUGAAAACCUCUUGAUGUUGGCAUAUAUAUGUAUACAAAGUGAUAUAAAAUUAUGUAUGCGGUUGUAUGUCAUCACUUCACCGAAAACACGCAUUUAGGAGCGUCCCCCACCAGACGCGUGUAUGCGGUCCUAUUUUUAGGCCAGAUUUAAAAAGCAUGGCAACCACUAGCACAUACAUGUGAUUCCUAUUUUCAUGACAGGUUGUGGGAGUUUCCCAUUGCAUGUGCACUAGUUUUAAAUAACAUUUUCAUUCCCACGACACACAUGCAAAAAAUGUAUGGUUGGUAUCACGUAAAGCAUAUAUCAUUAUAGAAAGUUACAAAAAUACAUAUACCGUACAUCACAAUUAAUAAAGAAAAUUCUAUUAUGGGAUCAACCAACAGUCGCAUGCAUAGAACAAGAAUUGGAGGAGAUCAUCGACAGAGGAUGCCGCCAAGGCCAUCAGAUCGGAGGAGUUGGUAAACGAAGGACGUCCAAACUGUCAUGUAGAUCGCCGACCCUCGCAGUCGCGUCUCGCGUGACCGCCGGAGCCACCUGUGCCUUGCGUGGCAACCGCUAGAGGGCCUCGCUGCUGUGCGCGCAUGGGGAGCCACCGCCGCCACACGAGCCUCUGGUUCACGCCUCAGGUAACCGCCACCGACCAGUGAGGGGGCGUCGGCGCUCACGCCACCGGGGUCGUCGUCGUCGCUCGUGCCUCAAGGAACCAUUAUCACUCGCGCGAGCGCUUCGUCACUCGUGCAUCGAGAUAGGGGCGUCAAAAAAUAAAGCCUAUCGACCUAGGACAUCUUUUAUAGACGACGAGAUCUGGUGCGGUUGAACCGGAUGACCUGGUCUGGUUUGGGCUUCCUCUAGUUAUUAAAAACACAGUUCUUUAAAUAUAUAAACUAAUAGUGUAUAUAUAAAGAUUGGUGGGGCCUUCAUGUCGAAUUUUGCCCUAGGCCCCAAAAAGUUGGGAAAUCUAUAGUUAAAGUUGUUUCAACUGAAUAAAUUUCAAAUUCUCUCUAACCAUCAGCUCACAAUAGUUUUCUCACAGCUCACAGCUAGAAUCAAAUUACCAGGAAUCUACAGCUGAACCAAACAGACCCUUAUUUCAUCUUCUAUAUUAAACUCUUCAUUCUACAGUACAAUCUUUAUAGCGAAACAAAAUAGUAUAUUUCACGGUCACAUAUACAGUCGCUGACCAUAGCCUUAGAGCUAUAGCACAUAUACUUUAUGUAUGUUAUCAACCUCACAUCAUUUUUAUGGACUUAUAGUUUAAAUAAAACUUAUUGUUUUAUUAAAAAAUAUAAAUAUAUCCAAAUACGCAAUUAAACAAAUAAAAUUUACCAAAUUUAUAAAUCAUAAAUAUAAAAUACAUAAACCAUAAACAAAAGUUAUACGAUUCAUAAAUUAUAAAUAAAACAAAUAAUUUUUGAAGCGAAAAAAUAUAUUGACCAGAUUAUAUGUUUUAAAAUUUACUCUCGAUUUGUUAUAACAAAUGGGGAAGGAAAAUAUAAUAUAGACACAAUUGAUAUAGUGGUGUAGUGGUAGAGGAGAUUGUGCGCGCGGCGUGAGAGAUAUUGCGAGUUCAAAUCUUACUGAUCACAAAACAUGUGAAUUCCAUUCAAAAAUGUUGAAAAAUGAUAGAACAACAGGUAGGACAAUGUGUGAUGAUGGUUGGGGGCGUUGUUCCCCUAAUUAAAAAAUAUUUUCCUAUUUUUUGGAAUUUUUGCGAUUCUUAAUUUGACGAGUGCCAGAAAAAAGAACCCGUCAAAGAAUCAAAUAUUUGUCGAGUGUUAUUUGAUGAGUGUAACACUCGGUAAAAGUUUUGACGAGUGUAAAAAGGUCCUUGCCGAGGAUACUCGGCAAGAAAAUCCAGUCCAGUAGUGAUAUUAGGCUAUUUCGCUUACAAUUAGGCCAGAUGCUAUAGUUGGUGGUUAUAAGGUCGAUCACCCAGAGUGUAGUGUUAAGAUCAUUCAUUGGUUCAACGAAUAUAUGUACAAGAUACAAAAGUGCUUCUAGCCUACUACCUACUGAUUUACUGAACAAUAAUUCUAGCUCAUUACGUUUGUGCAAUCAAAACACACAACCAGACAACAACAAAAAAACUCUAGACCGUACUUUUUUGUUCACAUUGGGUUUAUGGUGGCGGCCAAAAUUGGAAGAACCUUCAACAUCAGUUUAUACUCCUAUCACAAGUGAUCUAAAAAUGUAUCAUCAGGAAAGGAAAAAACAUGUGUUAUUCAAUGAGCAACUGGAAAAUAAAGUAAGAUGGAUGAUAGAACUAUGAAAUCAUUUAGUUGGAUAUCUCUUGAUAAAAUUUAAAAGGAUUGGCUACAUAAAGUACAUGGUGGAUUCAAAUGACUGAGGUCCCAAAAGUUUGGAAUACAAGAUCAAUGAAUAAUAAAGAUUAUUCGAGGCUUCUCAAUAGAUAGAAUUUGUUGCCAUUUGUUGAUUUCUCUGAACAAUAAUUAUAUCUUCCAGUUUGAAGUGUUUUUUUUUGCAAAUGUGUGUGCAAUUGUUAAUAAAUAUUAGCAUUUAUGUAAAUGUAUUAUCUAAAUUUCAUGGUUGAUAAAUUGAAAGUGCAAUGCUAGUCAUUAACAUACUUUUGCAUGUUUGUCGGGAACCAUAAUUAGGGGUACCCCCAAGACUCCUAAACUCGGCUGGUAACCACCAUCAGCACAAGCUGCAAAGGCCUGAUGGGCGCAAUACAGGUCAAAGCUCCGUCCACUCUACGGACACGAUCUCGCCUCGCCCGAGCCCGGCCUCGGGCAGGAACAGUAGACCCAGGCGGAUUCACGCCUCGCCCGAGGUCCCCCUCAAGCAACGGGCGCACCUCCGACUCUUCCGAGGCCCGGCUCGGGCAGGCUUCGCAGUGAAGCAACCUUGGCCGGAUCGCCACACCAAUCGACCAUAUCGCAGGAGCAUUCAAUACAAGGAUCACCUGACACCUUAUCCUGACGCGCGUUCCUCAGUCGACAGGGCCGAAGUGACCACAGUCAUUUUGCCCCUCCACUGACUGAGCUGACAGGAAAACAGCGGCGCCUGCCCUGCUCCGACUGCUGUGCCACCCGCCAGGGUGAGGCUGACAGCUGCCAAGUCCAGCCUCAGGCGCCAUAGGAAGCUCCGCCUCGCCCGACCCCAGGGCUCGGACUCCACCUCGACCUCGGAAGACGGUCUCCACCUCGCCCGACCCCAGGGCUCGGACUCCACCUCGACCUCGGAAGACGGUCUCCGCCUCGCCCGACCCCAGGGCUCGGACUCCACCUCGACCUCGGAAGACGGUCUCCGCCUCGCCCGACCCCAGGGCUUGGACUCAGCCUCGACCUCGGAGGAGUCACCGCCUCGCUCGACCUCGGGCUCGGACCGACCACGCCGCAGGGGGGUACAUCAUUACCCUACCCCUAGCUAGCUCAGGCUACGGGGAACAAGACCGGUGUCCCAUCUGGCUCACCCCGGUAAACAAGUAAUGAUGGCACCCCGCGUGCUCCAUGACGAUGGCGGUUCUCAGCCCCCUACGGAAGCAAGGAGACGUCAGCAAGGAUCCGACAGCCUCGACAGCUGUACUUCUACAGGGUUUAAGUGCUCCUCCGACGGCGAUGACAUCACAUGAACAGGGCAGCAACACCUCUCUGACAGCCACGUCGGCAUGUACAUAGGGCUCUGGCUCCUCUCUGCUAGACACGUUAGCACAUUGCUACACCCCCCAUUGUACACCUGGGCCUUCUCCUUACAUCUAUAAAAGGAAGGUCCAGGGCCCUCGUACGAGAAGGUGGCCGCGCGGGAGGACGGGCUGACGGAUAGUGUCUCUCUCUCUCCCUCGCGAACGCUUGUAACCCCCUACUGCAAGCGCAUCCGCCCUGGGCGCAGGAUAACACGAGCCACGACUUCUCCCCCUUGUGUUCCAUCUCGCGCCGACCCAUCUGAGCUGGGACACGCAGCGACAAUUUACUUGUCGGUCCAGGGACCCCCGGGGUCAAAACGUCGACAGUUGGCGCGCCAGGUAGGGGACUGUUGCGUGUUGACGAACAGCUUCUCGUCAAGCUCCAGAUGGGUAGUCUCCAGCAACCUCUCCAGCCCGGGACGAUGCUCCGUUUCGGGAGUCUCGAGUUCAUGUCCCUCGACGGCAGCUACGACAUGGUACUCCUUCCUCCGCCGCGCGACAACGACAAUGGCGGCCGUCAGCCCGCCCGCCGGCGGCGGAAUCGACGACGUCUUCUCCGCGUGGCGGAAGAGCAGCAUCCAGGUCUGUCCCGUCACCUUCCCCGCCGACGGAGGAGGAGGCGGGGCAACCAUGGCCAAGCAGGAGGCGGCACCUCGUCAACUGUCGAGCGAGUCGACGACGUCGGCGCCCCAGCGGGGGACACGUCGGGCGUUGACCUCGCGUCUGAGACGAAGACGAGCGUCGUUUCCCCGCAACACGCCAACCCCAAGCAGACGGAUGACGCCAGCAUGCUCGCGAAGGACUUGCUGGGCGUUAGCCUCGUACCUGAGAUAACAGUGCAGUCCGUCCCUGACGCGACUUCGUCACCAUCCGUCGAUCAAGAGGUAGCGUCCGUUUUCCACCCUGUGCCUUUUAGAUUUAGCUUCGACCCACCAAGCGACCCCGCUUCGGUGGACGCUUUCAUAAAGGCAUAUCCUAACCUUCCGGGGUAUCAUAUGUGGUCAACCUAGGACCGACUGUCGGCCGUCUCGACCUACGGUCCCCCGAGUUCCGAGGAAGAUGACGAGCCCGACUCUGGUUGGGAUUUCUCCGGGCUCGAUAACCCCAGUGCCAUGCGAGACUUCAUGACUGCAUGUGACUACUGCCUCUCCGAUUACUCCGAUGAUGGCCACAGCCUUGACGACGAGGACUGUGGCCCAAGUCGCGAAUGUUUCCACGUCGAUCUAGGGGCUCUCGACGAAGGCAACCAUCUUGGUAUGCCGGAGGACGGCGAUCCCCCUAGGCCUGCGCCUCGCGUUGACAUCCUUCGGGAGCUAGCUGUGGUCCUAGUCCCUGCGGGGGGUCAGGACGCACAGCUCGAGCAAAUCCGCGAGAUGCAGGCCAGGCUCGACGAGGAAGUAGGACAACUUGUGCAGCUCCGGCAGAACAUCGGGCAGGGGUGGGCAGGUCGAGCACCAGCCGGAGAAGCGCGUCAUCUGGCCCAGGACGUCCAGCACCGCAUCGCCGACGAUGCCAGGGCAAGGCUGCCCCCGGCUUCCAGUGGGGUCGGCCAGAACCUGGCUGCAGCAGCAAUACUACUCCGAGCGAUGCCGGAACCAUCCACCACCGAGGGGCGGCAUAUCCAGGGAGAACUCAAGAAUCUCCUGGAGGAUGCCGCGGUCCGACGGGCCGAAAGCUCUGUCUCUCGAAGGCAGGGGUACCCCCCGGAGCAUCGCGCCGCGACUUCCCGAUUCAUGCGGAAAGCCUCAGUCCACACCGGGGGCACGCGGGAUGCAACGCCUGCAGCCCCAGGUCGCCUCGGCAAUGAGCACCACCGCCGCGACCGUCGAGCCCACCUCGACGAGAAGGUGCGCCGAGGCUACCACCCCAGGCGUGGGGGACACUAUGACAGCGGGGAGGAUCGGAGCCCCUCGCCCGAACCACCGGGUCCGCAAGCUUUCAGUCGGGCCAUACGACGGGCGCCGUUCCCGACCCGGUUCCGAACCCCGACUACCAUCACCAAGUACUCGGGGGAAACAAGGCCGGAACUGUGGCUCGCGGACUACCGGCUGGCCUGCCAGCUAGGUGGAACAGACGAUGACAACCUCAUCAUCCGCAACCUCCCCCUGUUCCUCUCCGACGCCGCCCGAGCCUGGCUGGAGCAUCUGCCUCUUGCGCAGAUCUCCAACUGGGACGACUUGGUCAAAGCCUUCGCCGGCAACUUCCAGGGCACAUACGUGCGCCCUGGGAACUCCUGGGAUCUCCGAAGCUGCCGCCAGCAGCCGGGAGAAUCCCUGCGGGACUACAUCCGGCGAUUUUCGAAACAGCGCACCGAGCUGCCCAACAUCACCGACUCAGAUGUCAUCGGCGCGUUCCUCGCCGGCACUACUUGUCGCGACCUGGUGAGCAAGAUGGGUCGCAAGACUCCCACCAGGGCGAGCGAGCUGAUGGACAUCGCCACCAAAUUCGCCUCUGGUCAGGAGGCGGUCGAGGCCAUCUUCCGGAAGGACAAGCAGCCUCAGGGGCGCCAGCAGGAAGACUUCCCCGAGGCGUCCGCUCAGCGCGGCAUCAAGAAGAAGGGCAAGAAGAAGUCGCAAGCGAAACGCGACGCCGCCGACGCAGACCUUGUCGCUGCCGCCGAGUACAGGAACCCUCGGAAGCCUCCCGGAGGCGCCAACCUGUUCGACAAGAUGCUCAAGGAGUCGUGCCCCUAUCAUCAGGGUCCCGUCAAGCACACCCUUGAGGAGUGUGUCAUGCUUCGGCGCUACUUCCACAAGGCCGGGCCCCCGGCAGAAGGUGGCAGAGGCCACGACAACGACAAGAAGAAGGGCCACAAGGCAGAGGAGUUCCCCGAGGUCCACGACUGCUUCAUGAUCUACGGUGGGCAAGUGGCGAACGCCUCGGCUCGGCACCGCAAGCGAGAGCGCCGCGAGGUCUGCUCGGUGAAGGUGGCGGCGCCAGUCUACCUAGACUGGUCCGACAAGCCCAUCACUUUCGACCAAGGCGACCACCCCGACCGCGUGUCGAGCCCAGGGAAGUACCCACUCGUUGUCGAUCCCGUCGUCGGCAACAUCAGGCUUACCAAGGUCCUCAUGGACGGAGGCAGUAGCCUCAACAUCAUCUACGCCGAGACCCUCGGGCUCUUGCAGAUCGAUCUGUCCGCGAUCCGAGCCGAUACGACGCCCUUUCACGGGAUCAUCCCCGGGAAGCGCGUCCAACCCCUUGGGCAACUCGAUCUACCCGUCUUCUUUGGGACUCCCUCCAACUUCCGAAAGGAAACCCUCAUGUUCGAGGUGGUCGGGUUCUGAGGAACCUACCAUGCAGUGCUGGGGAGACCAUGCUACGCCAAGUUCAUGGUCGUCCCUAACUACACCUACCUCAAGCUCAAGAUGUCGGGCCCCAACGGGGUCAUCAUCGUCGGAUCCACGUACCGACACGCGUACGAAUGCGACGUGGAGUGCGUGGAAUACGCUGAGGCCUUCGCCGAAUCCGAGGCCCUCAUCACCGACCUGGAGAGCCUCUCCAAGGAGGUGCCAGAUGCGAAGCGCCACGCCGGCAACUUUGAGCCAGCAGAGGCGGUUAAGUUCGUCCCUCUCGACCCCAGCAACGACGCCUCCAAGCAAGUCCGGAUGGACUCCGAGCUCGACCCCAAAUAGGAAGCCGUGCUUGUCGACUUUCUUCGCGCAAACGCCGAGGUUUUUGCGUGGAGUCCCUCGGACAUGCCUGACAUAUCGAGGGAUGUCGCCGAGCACUCGCUGGAUAUCCGAGCUGGAGCCCGACCCGUGAAGCAGCCUCUGCGCCGAUUCGACGAAGAAAAGCGUAGAGCCAUAGGCGAGGAGAUCCACAAGCUGAUGGCUGCAGGGUUCAUCAAAGAGGUAUUCCAUCCCGAAUGGCUAGCCAACCCUGUGCUUGUGAAAAAGAAAGGUGGGAAAUGGAGGAUGUGUGUAGACUACACUGGUCUAAACAAAGCAUGUCUGAAAGUUCCCUACCCUCUGUCUCACAUCGAUCAAAUCGUGGAUUCCACUGCUGGGUGCGAAACCCUGUCGUUCCUCGAUGCCUACUCAGGGUAUCACCAAAUCAGGAUGAAAGAGUUCGACUAGCUCACGACCUCUUUCAUCACACCUUUGGCUUGUACUGCUACAUUACUAUGCCAUUCGGUUUGAGGAACACAGGUGUGACAUACCAAAGGUGCAUGAACCACGUGUUCGGAGAGCACAUUGGCCGAACGGUCGAGGCUUACGUCGAUGACAUCAUAGUCAAGACGAGGAAAGCCUCCGACCUCCUCACUGACCUUGAAACGACAUUCAAGUGUCUCAAGGCGAAAGGCGUAAAACUCAAUCCCGAGAAGUGUGUCUUCGGAGUCCCCCAAGGCAUGCUCCUGGGGUUCACCGUCUCCGAGCGGGGCAUCGAGGCCAACCCGGAGAAAAAUCGCGGCCAUCACCGACAUGGGACCUAUCAAGGACUUGAAAGGAGUACAGAGGGUCAUGGGAUGCCUUGCAGUUCUGAGCCGCUUCAUCUCGCGCCUCGGUGAAAGAGGCCUGCCUCUGUACCGCCUUUUAAGAAAGACCGAGCGCUUCACUUGGACCCUCGAGGCCAAGGAAGCCCUCGGAAACUUAAAGGCGCUCCUUACAAGCGCGCCCAUCCUGGUGCCCCCCGCUACUGGAGAAGCCCUCUUGAUCUACGUAGCCACAACCACUCAGGUGGUCAGCGCCGCGAUUGUAGUCGAGAGACGAGAAGAAGGACAUGUAUUGCCCGUACAGAGGCCGAUCUACUUCAUCAGUGAGGUACUGUCCGAGACCAAAAUCUGCUAGCCGCAAAUUCAGAAGCUACUGUACGCGGUAAUCCUGAUGCGGCGAAAGUUGCGACACUACUUCGAGUCUCAUCCGGUGAUUGUGGUGUCAUCCUUCCCCCUGGGGGAGAUCAUCCAGUGCCGAGAGGCCUCGGGUAGGAUUGCAAAGUGGGCGGUGGAGAUCAUGGGCGAGACAAUCUCGUUCGCCCCUCGGAAGGCCAUCAAGUCCCAAGUCUUGGCGGACUUUGUGGCUGAAUGGGUCGACACCCAGCUUCCAGCAGCUCCGAUCCAACCGGAACUUUGGACCAUGUUUUUAGACGGGUCGCUGAUGAAAACAGGAGCGGGCGCGGGCCUCCUCUUCAUCUCACCCCUCGGGAAGCACCUCCGCUACGUGCUGCGCCUCCAUUUCCCGGCGUCAAACAAUGUGGCCGAGUACGAGGCUCUCGUUAACGGGUUGCGCAUCGCCAUCGAGCUAGGGGUUCGGCGCCUCGAUGCUCGUGGCGACUCGCAGCUUGUCAUCGACCAAGUCAUGAAGAACUCCCUUUGCCGCGACCCGAAGAUGGAAGCCUACUGCGACGAGGUUCGACGCCUGGAAGACAAGUUCUACGGGCUCGAGCUCAACCACGUCGCUCGACGAUACAACGAGACUGCGGACGAGCUGGCUAAAAUAGCCUCGGGGCGGACAACGGUUCCCCCGGACGUCUUCUCCCGAGACCUACAUCAACCCUCCGUCAAGACCGACGACACGCCCGAGCCCGAGGAGGCCUCAGCCUAGCCCGAGGCACCCUCGGCCGCCGAGGGUGAGGCACUGCGCGUCGAGGAAGAGCGGAAUGGGGUCACGCCUAAUCGAAACUGGCAGACCCCAUACCUGCAAUAUCUCCAUUGAGGAGAGCUACCCCUCGACAGAGCCGAAGCUCGGCGACUGGCGCGGCGCGCCAGGUCGUUCGUCUUGCUGGGUGAAGAAAAGGAGCUCUACCACCGCACCCCCUCAGGCAUCCUCCAGCGAUGCAUAUCCAUCGCCGAAGGUCAGGAGCUAUUGCAAGAAAUACAAUCGGGGGAUUGCGGUCAUCACGCAGCACCUCGAGCCCUCAUUGGAAACGCCUUCCGACAAGGUUUCUACUGGCCAACCGUGGUGGCCGACGCCACUAGGAUUGUACGCACCUGCCAAGGGUGUCAAUUCUACGCAAGGCAGACACAUCUGUUCGCUCAGGCCCUGCAAACAAUACCCAUCACCUGGUCGUUUGCUGUGUGGGGUCUGGACCUCGUCGGUCCCUUGUAGAAGGCACCCGGGGGCUUCACGCACCUGCUGGUCGCUAUCGACAAAUUCUCCAAGUGGAUUGAGGUCCGACCCCUAAACAACAUCAGGUCCGAACAGGUGGUGGCGUUCUUCACCAACAUCAUCCAUCGCUUUGGGGUCCCGAACUCCAUCAUCACCGACAACGGCACCCAGUUCACUGGCAGAAAGUUCCUGGACUUCUGCGAGGACCACCACAUCCGGGUGGACUGGGCCGCCGUAGCUCACCCCAUGACGAAUGGGCAGGUAGAGCGUGCCAACGACAUGAUUCUGCAGGGACUCAAGCCGAGGAUCUACAAUGACCUCAACAAGUUCGGCAGGCGAUGGAUGAAGGAACUCCCCUCGAUGGUCUAGAGUCUGAGGACGACGCCAAGCCGAGCCACGGGCUUCACGUCGUUCUUUCUAGUCUAUGGGGCCGAGGCUAUCUUGCCCACAGACUUAGAAUAUGGCUCCCCGAGGACAAGGACGUACGACUACCAAAGCAACCAGACCAACCGAGAAGACUCACUGGACCAGCUGGAAGAGGCUCGAGACAUGGCCUUACUACACUCGACAAGGUAUCAGCAGUCUCUGCGACGCUACCACACCCGAGGGGUUCGGUCCCGAGACCUCCAGGUGGGGGACUUGGUGCUUCGGCUACGACAAGACGCCCGAGGGCGUCAUAAGCUCACACCUCCCUGAGAAGGGCCGUUCAUCAUCGCCAAGAUUUUGAAGCCCGGAACAUACAAGCUGGCCAACAGUCAAGGCGAGGUCUACAACAACGCUUGGAACAUCCGACAGCUACGUCGUUUUUACCCUUAAGAUGUUUUCAAGUCGUUCACAUACCUCGUUCUCUUUACAUACGCAAAAAGAGUCUAACCGUCAAGGAAGGGUCAACCUUGCCUCAGCAAAGCCCGACCCUCCCUCGGGGGCUAAAAAGGGGGGAACCCCCUCUGCGUCAAAAUUUUCCUCGGAAAAAGUCUUUCUGUCAGAACGUCUUUCGCGCUUUUCGACUACUUUGAUAGUGGAAUCCCGAAAAUGACGGAGUACACGUAAGCGGCAAGGCCGACCGAGCCGAGGGACUCCUACGCCUCCGGGAUACGGAUACCUCACUCAUCACCUUCUGCGAUAAGUAACUCUCGCUCGGAUAAGCGAUUCUGCUGCCGAACAAGUCUUAACGCUCAAAAACCUUCCUAGUAGAACGAUUUUUCGUGCCUUCUCGACUGUAUCGAUAACAAAAUCCUACGGACGAGUAAGAGUACACGUAAGCGGCAAGGCCGACCGAGCCGAGGAACUCCUACGCCUCCGGGAUACGGAUACCUCACUCAUCGCCUUCCGUAAAAAGUAACUCUCGCUCGGAUAAACGAUUCUGCUGCCGACGAACAAGUCCUGAUACUCGAAACAAGGGGAAAAGAAACGCAGCUCUUUAACACGACGAUGAUAUGUUUGGGCCUCGACGGCCGCAAAAAACAUACGCACACUACAGAUAAACUGUUCCUGUAGGUUCAGACAUCAGUAGGGGGAGCAGCAGCACCCUCGACAUCGACUCCACCUUCGGCGGAAUCCGACCCGGCCUCGGACAGCAACACGGUCGGAGGAUCUCCACCUCGAAGGAAUAUGUCAACACCGUGCCUGGGCCAUCGCCGCCAGGGUCUUCUCCAGGAACCCGGCCUGAGUAGACGGCUCGACCGGCCGCUUCAUAGCCUCAGCCAGCUGACCCCCGAGGACAUCAGCCCGGCUCAUGGCCUCGGCAGCCCGACUUCAGGGUUGGUCCCGCCAGUGGACGACCUGGCUAGGUUCCAGCCGCCGCUGCUACGCCUCCUCAGCCUGGGAAGUCCCCUGCUUCUGGGCCGACGAAGUUUCUUCUCCAGCCGACUCCGCCUCUAUCCACGCUCACACCGUUGCCUUCGGCUCCGGCUCAUCGCAGAGCGACCGAGGGUUUUCUUUAACUGUGCAAGAGAAGCCUCGGGUGGCAAGGUCGGUCGAGCCGAGGGACUCCUACGCCUCCGGGAUACGGAUAUCUCACUCGUCACCUUCCGCACGGGGCAACUCACACUUGGUUAAGCGGUCCAGCUAGCCGACAGGCGAGUCCUGGUGCCCGAAAUGAGGAAGAAACACAGUAUUGCACUCAAAUACCUAGAUGUUCAGGCCCCGACAGCCACAAUGAACAGACACCGGCACUCAAGGUGCCAUUACAAAUGGAACUCCGGUUCCACUCCCGCGGGUAUGAACAACCUCCACAUCGGAGAGCCUACGAGACGACAAACUCCGGGUGACUCGUCGGCGACCUCUGCAGCAGCAGCGAUGGUCCCAGGGCGGACGCUAUUGCUGGAAGGCUCUCGUUCGCGUCCCCACUCGAGGGACGAGAACCAGACAUUAAAGCCAAAGAGCCGGAGGUCGGUCCGCGGGUGGCGCUGACGGUCUCAUCGGUGGAGAAGCUUUCUCCAGCUGCCACCACCUCAGCACCGACGGCGGCGUCCACCUGCCCACCAACACCGCACCAGCGAGCGCCGGCCGCCCCAAAGCGCACUGGCAGGUCCUCACUCCCGUCCUCGCCACAAAAACGAGAAUGGGACUGUCCCAGAACACGAGUGCCGCCCUCGCGGCGUACGACGUGUUGUGAGACCCCCUGGUGCGGCUAGCCACCGUCGCCCGGACAGAGGGCGGAAUGCUGCACCCUGGCUGGGUAGCAGCAGUUCGCCUUCCCCGGCAUGGCUGGAGGAUGCCUCCUCCACAGAGUUGCAGGAUGGUUUCCACCCCCAAAAGCCGAAGGAAGAAGCGGAACGCCAGCCCACGCGAAGGCAGGCCCCGGCUCGCCUCGCCCUCCUCCCCAGCAAGGAUGAUGAAGAUCCUUGAAGCUGAGGGCGGGGCAGAGGCCGCAACCCGGCUUGCUUCUCCCCACCAGCUAACUGGUGGUCACCAUCUCGGGUGACCAUUGGUGAGGGGAUGCAGCCGGGCUGCCUGAUGAAAAUCCUUGAAGCCAAGCGAUGGCUGAAAGGUACCAACCUCCACGAGGUUGCGCUCCUCCCACAAUGAGACGAAGACAACACGGGCGCUCCCCAUCCGGGGGCUCGGAAGGCGGAAGGACACAAUGCAUGAGGAGAGUGCGAAGGCGUGGCUACCACCCAGGGGGUCGAUCCCUUUUUAAAGGCGACUCUCCUCACUCGCGUCCUCAGGCGUCGCGGACUAAGUCUUCACCAACGCGCUCCAAGGUCCUCCCCCUACGACACGGGGGCUGGGUCCCACACGCCAUGCAAGCUGGCCGGGACAAAAGAAGCCAAACUGCCGCGCGCAGAGCGUGUAACUGCCCAGCGGUUACAAGCACUCCUCCGCUUUCGCCCAAACCAGCGGGUGAAAGGGCGGACCACCAUGCAGGCGGCAUGCAACUGCACCAAGGGGAUGCACCCUUUCGACUUCGACGCAUCCAGCGUGGCGGCCCAGGCCCACACGUCAUGUAACUGGCGCGCUGGUUGCUACAUGCGAAAAACUGCACCGCCACUUACGCCAAUGCCGCGCCUCCUCGACUACGGAACCGGUGCCGCGACUCGAGGCAACUCUGCGCAUGGCCCAACAGUGCCAACCAAGCACAUCGGUCACAGGUCAGUCAGCCACGGGAAAAGGCACGACGGUCGAUAUGGCCAAAAGUGGGCCGACAGUAAUGGCGGCGGCAGGCGGGCGGAAGCAGCAGUCAAAUCGUCUGCAGGCUCACGUCCCCUCCUAGGGCAGCAGGGGAGCCCUCUCCCACGGCAUGAAGACGACGCGCCCGUGUUCCGUCCCUCGAACGGCUCACACAACGGCUGCCCCGCGAACCACUCAUCCCGCCGCAUUGACUCCGCGGCAGGGCAGGCGACACCUUUGGCAGGCGAAGCGGGCGACGCUUCACCUCCGCCAUGAUGACCGCGUCAAAAAAGGUGUGCCACGUCGUUCAAUUUUGUAUCCUUUUCCUCUUCCCCUUUCUCUCUCUUGCUAUAGGGACCGGGAAAGGGGACACUCCGAAAGGGAUCCUUCUCUGCGAAGGAAGCGGGCCCCGAGCCCUCCUACUGAUCAGAGGUUCGAAGGCUGGCCCCUCGGAAGGGUUCGACAGCCGCCUCAGAGCACUCGAGCUCCGCGCCCACUACUGGUCAGAGGUUCGAAGGCUGGCCCCUCGGAAGGGUUCGACAGUCGCCUCAGGCCACUCGGGCUCCACGCCCACUACUGAUCAGGGGUUCGAAGGCUGCCCCCCCCCGCGAAGGGUUCGACAGCCGCCUCAGAACACGCGGAGCGAGGGAUGACUCUGGGUACGUUCGAUACAUGGUCUAGGCUCAGGCUACGCUCCCGAGGUACCCUAGGACAUUUCUGAGACCAGCAGGAGCGAUUCUGUAACGGAAUCCCAUCAGAGGGAGGCAUCGAGCCCUCGGACCCUAUCAAACGGGACCGGGUCCAGCAAAUCACCUGCAGGUACUUUUGGAGCGCGCCUCUGGGCCACUAGCCGACCCUUAUCGAACGGGGCACGGGCGUCCACUCGGAUCACUCGUUAGCAACUCACUGGAGACACCAUGUCCGGCGCCCUCCGAGGGCAACAUGGCGCUUUCCCCUCCUCCUCCUUGCGGAAAGGCGACGAAGGGGCGUAUGAUAAAAGCUGAGUCAGUCCUUGAUCGUCCUCUCGCUCUGUGCAGAGGCUCGGGGGCUGCUCUCGCAAACCCGGCUCCGGCCAAACCGUUGACGGUGUCAACAUACCAGCCUGAGAACUCGGAACCUGACCAUGCACCCGGGCUACGACCAGUUCGCAUGAGGGAACAACCAGACCGGCUGAGGCGUCACGAAAGGCACUAAGACCUCGGAGGAGUCAGACCACUCCUCCGAGGCCUCGGGGGCUACACCCGGCGGGUGCGCUCGCGCGCACCCACCUGAACGAAAUGCAACCGAGAAAGGCCGGUCCCCUUGCAAAAAAGUGCGAUAAAGCCUCCAAGCGAGUACCAACACUCCCUUUGAGGCUCGGGGGCUACUGUCGGGGACGAUACUUAGGGGUACCCCCAAGACUCCUAAACUCGGCUGGUAACCACCAUCAGCACAAGCUGCAAAGGUCUAAUGGGCGCAAUACAGGUCAAAGCUCUGUCCACUCCAGGGACACGAUCUCGCCUCGCUCGAGCCCAGCCUCGGGCAGGAACAGUAGACCCAGGCGGAUUCACACCUCGCCCAAGGGCCCCCUCAAGCAACGGGCGCACCUCCGACUCUUCCGAGGCCCGGCUCGGGCAAGCUUCGCAGUGAAGCAACCUUGGCCGGAUCGCCAUGCCAACCGACCAUAUCGCUGGAGCAUUCAAUGCAAGGAUCACCUGACACCUUAUCCUGACGCGUGUUCCUCAGUCGACAGGGCCGAAGUGACCGCAGUCAUUUCGCCCCUCCACUGACUAAGCUGACAGGAAAACAGCGUCGCCUGCCCUGCUCUGACUGCUGUGCCACCCACCAGGGUGAGGCUGACAGCUGCCAAGUCCAGCCUCAGGCGCCAUAGGAAGCUCCGCCUCGCCUGACCCCAGGGCUCGGACUCCACCUCGACCUCGGAAGACGGUCUCCGCCUCGCCCGACCCCAGGGCUUGGACUCAGCCUCAACCUCGGAGGAGUCACCGCCUCGCCCGACCUCGGGCUCGGACCGACCAUGCCGCAGGGGGGUACAUCAUUACCCUACCCCUAGCUAGCUCAGGCUACGGGGAACAAGACCGGCGUCCCAUCUGGCUCGCCCCGGUAAACAAGUAAUGAUGGCACCCCGCGUGCUCCAUGACGACGGUGGUUCUCAGCCCCCUACAGAAGCAAGGAGACGUCAGCAAGGAUCCGACAGCCCCGACAGCUGUACUUCUACAGGGUUUAAGUGCUCCUCCGACGGCCACAACAUCACAUGAAUAGGGCAGCAACACCUCUCCGACAGCCACGUCGGCAUGUACAUAGGGCUCUAGCUCCUCUCUGCUAGACACGUUAGCACAUUGCUACACCCCCCAUUGUACACCUAGGCCUUCUCCUUACAUCUAUAAAAGGAAGGUCCAGGGCCCUCGUACGAGAAGGUGGCCGCGCGGGAGGACGGGCUGACGGACAGUCUCUCUCUCUCUCUCCCUCACGAACGCUUGUAACCCCCUACUGCAAGCGCAUCCGCCCUGGGCGCAGGAUAACACGAGACGCGGCUUCUCCCCCUUGUGUUCCAUCUCGCGCCGACCCAUCUGGGCUAGGACAUGCAGCGACAAUUUACUCGUCGGUCCAGGGACCCCCCGGGGUCGAAACGCCGACAAUGUUAUUGCGUUAAUUUUUCAUGUUAGAAGCAUAUGAUGAUACAUUUAUCCUAUAGUGACGACUUAACGCUUGCUCUUAUACCAAAUGUUGGAAAAGUGAAGUGAUCCUAACCUUCGUACAGACUUAUGAGAAGCGCAACCAAAGUGAUGCAUUUCUUUUGUGAACCAUUAUUUACACUACUCCACGGAGUCCUCCACUUGACAUAAGCUAAUACCAACAACACUAUAUGAGAACCUACCUGUUUAUUCACUGUAACAAUUUUGCAUAGUGCUCACUUCCGGCUAGCCUACCACAUUCUAAUUGUGUCACACUACCAUGUUAUUACUAGCAUGUCAUGUAACUCUUUGUAGUGGCUAACUAUGUCAUCUACAAGUGGUUCCUACUUAGUUUAUAAUUAACAUGCUACUGGGUUAUAAGACUUUGUGGCUUAUAUAUGUGUUGCUAUAUAUUCAUAUUCUAUACCAUUUCUACAUAUAUUUUAAUUCAAGAAUCUUUUGGUAUCAGUCUAAUUAAUCUGUUAGUGUAGAUUUUUAGAAGAAGAAAAAACUGACACUAAAGUUGAACCUUUAGUUUUGUUUAUAGCUAAUAAUUGCUACAAGUCUUUACGGGACCAUGUACUCGAUAAAGAUCGAUGUUUUUAGUCCUAUCAGAUUCUUCAGUGUUCUUGAUUAUGCAUUGCGAUGAUCUGCUGCAUUGGAAUGAGCACGCAAGGAAAAAAGACGUGGGGAACACUGAAAGUCGCCUAGAGGGGGGGUGAAUAGCCGGAAUCUGAUAUUUACAAACUUAAGCACACACUACAAGCCAGGGUUAGCGUUAGAAUUAAAUUCGAGUCCGAAAGAGAGAGAAAACAAAUCAACAAAGAAAUAAAGCGGAUGAACACGAUGAUUUGUUUUACCGAGGUUCGGUUCUUGCAAACCUACUCCCCGUUGAGGUGGUCACAAAGACCGGGUCUCUUUCAACCCUUUUCCCUCUCUCAAACGGUCACUUAGACCGAGUGAGCCUUUCUCUUCAAUCAAAUGGGACACUUAGUCCACUAAAAGGACCACCACAACUUGGUGUCUCUUGUUUUGAUUACAAAUGAGUUGGAAACAAGAAUAGAGUAAGAAAAAAGCGAUCCAAGCGCAAGAGCUCAAAAGAUCACAAAAGUCUCUCUCUCUAGUCACUAAUUUAUUUGGAGUGAUUCCGGACUUGGGAGAGGAUUUGAUCUCUUUGUUUGUGUCUUGGAGUGAAGUCUAGAGCUCUUGUAUGAGGUUUGAUGGCUGAAAACUUGGAUGCAUUGAAGUGUGGUGGUUGGGGGUAUUUAUAGCGCCAACCUACAAAAUGGUCGUUGGUGAAGGCUACUGUCGUAUGACGCACCGGACAGUCCGGUGCGCCAUCGGACACUGUCCGGUGCGCCAGCCACGUCACCCGACUGUUAUGGUUCGACCGUUGGAGCUUCUGGCAUGUGGGCCACUGGACAGUCCGGUGGAGCACCGGACAGACACCGUUCACUGUCCGGUGCGCCAUCUGAUGCCUGCUCUGACUCUGCACGCGCAGGCGCGUACUGUAGUGUUUCACCGUUCCUUUGCAGACGACUAUUGGCGCUGUUUAGCCGUUACUCCGCUGGCACACCGGAUAGUCCGGUGCUACACCAGACAGUUCGGUGAAUUAUAUCGGAAUUAUGUCGGAGUGGCUCCCAGAAUUCCCGAAGCUAGCGAGUUGGAGGGAAUCCACCCUAGCACACUGGGCAGUCCGGUGCGCCAGACCAGGGCAGCCUUCGGUUGUCUUUUGCUCUUUUUAUUUGAACUCUUUCUUGGACUUUUUAUUGGUUUGUGUUGAACCUUUGGCACCUGUAGAACUUACAAUCUAGAGCAAACUAGUUAGUCCAAUUGUUUGUGUUGGGCAACUCAACCACCAAAAUCAUUUAGGAAAAGGUGUAAGCAUGUUUCCCUUUCAAUCUCCCCCUUUUUGGUGAUUGAUGCCAACACAAAACAAAGCAAAUAUAUAAGUGCAGAAUUGAACUAGUUUGCAUAAUAUAAGUGCAAAGGUUACUUGGAAUUAAACCAAUAUACAUUUCAUAAGAUAUGCAUGGAUGCUUUCUUCUAUAUUAAUAUUUUGGACCACACUUGCACCACUUGUUUUGUUUUUGCAAAAUCUUUUGGAAAUUCUUUUUAAAGUCUUUUUGCAAAUAGUCAAAGGUAAAUGAUUAAGAUUUUGAGAAGCAUUUUCAAGAUUUGAAAUUUUCUCCCCUGUUUCAAAUGCUUUUCCUUUGACUAAACAAAAACUCCCCCUUAAUGAAAUUCUCCUCUUAGUGUUCAAGAGGGUUUUAGAUAUUAAUUUUGAAAGGGGUCAUACUAAUUUGAAAUUAUAUCAAAAAUAAGAUACCAAUUGAAAAACUUCUUUAAAUUCAAAUUGAGAUACUAUAUUUUUGAAAUUGGUGGUGGUGCGGUCCUUUUGCUUUGGGCUAAUACUUUCUCCCCCUUUGGCAUGAAUCGCCAAAAACGGAUACUUGUGAGUGAAAUAUAAGCCCUUUUACUGUCUCUCCCUUUGGUAAAUAAUAUAGGAGUGAAGAUUAUACCAACUUGGAGAGCGAUGCAGAGUGUUGGCGAAGGAUGAAUAUCUGGAGUGGAGUGGAAGCCUUGUCUUCGCCGAAGACUCCAUUUCCCUUUCAAUCUAUGACUUGGUAUGAAAUACACUUGACAAACACAUUAGUCAUAUCACAUGAAAGAGAUAUGAUCAAAGGUAUAUAAAUGAGCUAUGUGUGCAAGGAAUCAAUCAAAGUUCCUAGAAUCAAGAAUGUUUAGCUCAUGCCUAAGUUUGGUAAAAGUUUUCUCAUCUAAUGGCUUGGUAAAGAUAUCGGCUAAUUGUUCUUUGGUGCUAACAUAUGCAAUCUCGAUAUCCCCCCUUUGUUGGUGAUCCCUCAAAAAGUGAUACCGAAUGGCUAUGUGCUUAGUGUGGCUGUGCUCAACGGGAUUAUCCGCCAUGCGGAUUGCACUCUCAUUAUCACAUAGGAGAGGAACUUUGGUUAAUUUGUAACCAUAGUCCCUAAGGGUUUGCCUCACCCAAAGCAAUUGUGCGCAACAAUGGCCUGCGGCAAUGUACUCGGCUUCGGCGGUAGAAAGAGCUACAGAAUUUUGUUUCUUAGAAGCCCAAGACACCAGGGAUCUUCCCAAGAACUGACAAGUCCCUGAUGUGCUCUUUCUAUCAAUCUUACACCAUGCCUAAUCAGCAUCUGAAUAUCCAAUUAAAUCAAAAGUGGAUCCCUUGGGGUACCAAAGGCCAAACUUAGGUGUAUGAACUAAAUAUCUCAAGAUUCAUUUUACGGCCCUAAGGUGAACUUCUUUAGGAUCGGCUUGGAAUCUUGCACACAUGCAUAUGGAAAGCAUAAUAUCCGGUCGAGAUGCACAUAAAUAAAGUAGAGAUCCUAUCAUCGACCGAUAUACCUUUUGAUCUAUGGAUUUACCUCCCGUGUCGAGGUCGAGAUGCCCAUUGGUUCCCAUGGGUGUCUUGAUGGGCUUAGCAUCCUUCAUCCCAAACUUGGUGAGUAUGUCUUGAAUGUACUUGGUUUGGCUGAUGAAGGUGCCCUCUUGGAGUUGCUUGACUUGAAAUCCUAGAAAAUACUUCAACUCCCCCAUCAUAGACAUCUCGAAUUUUUGAACCAUGAUCCUACAAAACUCUUCACAAGUAGAUUUGUUAGUAGACCCAAAUAUAAUAUCAUCAACAUAAAUUUGGCAUACAAACAAAUCAUUUGCAAUUGUCUUAGUAAAGAGAGUAGGAUCGGCUUUUCUGACUUUGAAGCCAUUGGCGAUAAGAAAAUCUCUUAGGCAUUCAUACCAUGCUCUUGGAGCUUGCUUGAGUCCAUAAAGCGCCUUAGAGAGUUUAUAAACAUGGCUAGGGUACUCACUAUCUUCAAAGUCGGGAGGUUGCUCAACAUAGACCUCCUCCUUGAUUGGUCCAUUGAGGAAGGCACUCUUCACGUCCAUUUGGUAAAGCUUAAAGCCAUGGUAAGUAGCAUAGGCAAGUAAUAUGCGAAUUGACUCCAGCCUAGCUACGGGUGCAAAGGUUUCACCGAAAUCCAAACCUUCGACUUGUGAAUAUCUCUUGGCCACAAGUCGGGCUUUGUUCCUUGUCACCACACCAUGCUCGUCUUGCUUGUUGCAAAAAACCCACUUGGUUCCUACAACAUUUUGGUUAGGACGUGGAACUAAAUGCCAGACUUCAUUCCUAGCGAAGUUGUUGAGUUCCUCUUGCAUCGCCAACACCCAAUCUGAAUCCCUUAAUGUGUCUUCUAUCCUGUAUGGCUCAAUAGAAGACACAAAGGAGUAAUGUUCACAAAAAUGAGCAACACGAGAUCAAGUGGUUACCCCUUUUGAAUAUUGCCGAGGAUGGUGUUCACGGGGUGAUCUCGUUGUAUUGCUUGGUGGACUCUUGGGUGAGGCGGUCUUGGACCAUCAUCAUCUUCCUUGUCUUGAUCAUUUACAUCCCCCCCCCCUUGAUCAUUGUCCUCCUCUUGAGGUGGCUCCUCUUGAUCUUCAUCUUCAUCAUCUUGAGCUUGAUCCUCAUCUUAGGUUGGUGGAGAUGCUUGCAUGGAGGAAGAUGGUUGAUCUUGUGCAUGUGGAGGCUCUUCGGAUUCCUUAGGACAUACAUCCCCAAUGGACAUGUUCCUUCGCGCGACGCAUGGAGCUUCUUCAUCAUCUAGCUCAUCAAGAUCAACUUGCUCUACUUGAGAGCCGUUAGUCUCAUCAAACACAAUGUCACAAGAAACUUCAACUAGUCCAGUGGACUUGUUAAAGACUCUAUAUGCCCUUGUGUUUGAGUCAUAACCAAGUAAAAAGCCUUAUACAGCCUUAAAAGCAAAUUUAGACUUUCUACCUCUUUUAACAAGAAUAAAGCAUUUGCUACCAAAGACUCUAAAAUAUGAAACAUCGGGCUUUUUACCGGUUAGGAGUUCAUAUGAUGUCUUCUUGAGGAUUCGGUGAAGGUAGAGACGGUUGAUGGCGUAGCAAGCGAUGUUGAUUGCUUCCGCCCAAAACCGGUCCGAAGUCUUGUACUCAUCAAGCAUGGUCCUCGCCAUGUCAAGUAGAGUUCUAUUCUUCCUCUCCACUACACCAUUUUGUUGUGGCAUGUAGGGAGAAGAUAACUCAUGCUUGAUGCCCUCAUCCUCAAGGAAGCCUUCUAUUUGUGAGUUCUUGAACUCCAUCCCAUUGUCGCUUCUAAUCUUUUUGAUCCUCAAGCCAAACUCAUUUUGAGCCCGUCUCAAUAAUCCCUUUAAGGUCUCUUGGGUUUGAGAUUUUUCCUGCAAAAAGAACACCCAAGUGAAGCGAGAAUAAUCAUCCACAAUAACUAGACAGUACUUACUCCCGUCGAUGCUUAUGUAAGCUAUCGGGCCGAAUAGGUCCAUGUGGAGUAGCUCAAGUGGCCUGUCAGUCGUCAUGAUGUUCUUGUGUGGAUGAUGAACACCAACUUGCUUCCCUGCUUGACAAGCGCUACAAACCCUGACUUUCUCAAAAUGAACAUUUGUUAGUCCCAAAAUGUGUUCUCCCUUUAGAAGCUUAUGAAGAUUCUUCAUUCCAACGUGGGCUAGUCGGCGAUGCCAGAGCCAACCCAUGUUAGUCUUAGCAAUUAAGCAAGUGUCGAGUUCAGCUCUAUUAAAAUCAACUAAGUAUAGCUGACCCUCUAACACUCCCUUAAAUGCUACUGAAUCAUCACUUCUUAUAAAGACAGUAACACCUAUAUCCUUAAAUAGACAAUUGUAGCCCAUUUUACAUAAUUGAGAAACUGAAAGCAAGUUAUAGUCUAAAGAAUCUACAAGAAAAACAUUAGAAAUAGAAUGGUCAAGAGAUAUAGCAAUUUUACCAAGUCCUUUGACCAAACCUUGAUUUCCAUCCCCGAAUGUGAUAGCUCUUUGGGGAUCAUGGUUUUUCUCAUAGGAGGAGAACAUCCUUUUCUCUCCUGUCAUGUGAUUUGUGCACCCGCUAUCAAUUAUCCAACUUGAGCCCCCGGAUGCAUAAACCUACAAAACAAACUUAGGCCUUGUUCUUAGGUACCCAAACGGUCUUGAGUCCUUUUACAUUAGAAACAAGCACCUUGGGUACCCAAACACAAGUCUUUGAUCCCUUGUGUUUGGCCCCAACAUAUUUGGCAACUACUUUGCCUGAUUUGUUAGUGAGCACAUUAGAAGCAUCAAAAGUCUUAAAUGAAAUAUUAGGUUCAUUUGAUGCUAUUGGAGAUUUCUUUUUAGGCAAUUUAACAUGGGUUGAUUGUCUAGAGCUAGAUGCCUCACUCUUAUACAUAAAAGCAUGAUUAGAGCCAGAGUGAGACUUCCUAGAGUGAAUUCUCCUAAUUUUGUGCUCGGGAUAACCAGCAGGGUAUAAAAUGUAGCCAUCGUUAUCCUGAGCCAUGGGAGCUUUGCCCUUAACAAAAUUGGAUAAUUUCUUAGGGGCAUUGAGUUUGACAUUGCCUCCUUGUUGGAAGCCAAUGCCAUCCUUAAUGCCAGGGCAUCUCCCACUAUAGAGCAUGCUUCUAGCAAAUUAAAAUUUUUCAUUUUCUAAGUCAUGCUCAUGAAUCUUAGCACUAAGUUGAGCUAUGUGAUCAUUUUGUUGUUUAAUUAAAGCUAGGUGAUCAUGAAUAGCAUCAACAUUAAUAUCUCUGCAUCUAGUAUAAAUAGUGACAUGCUCAAUGGUAGAUGUAGACGGUUUGCAAGUAUUUAAUUCAACAAUCUUAGCAUGUAAAAUAGCAUUCUCAUCUCUAAGAUGGGAAAUAGAAAAAUUGCAAUCAUUUAAAUCUUUAGCCUUAGCAAUUAAUUUUUCAUUUUCAAUUUUAAGGCUAGAGAGUGAUGCAUUCAACUUGUCAAUCUUAGUAAUCAAACUAGCAUUAUCAUAUCUAAGACUAACAAGAGAAUCAUCACAAACAUUUAAAUUCUCAACCCUAGCAAUUAGUUUAGCAUUAUCAUUUCUAAGGUUUGAGAUGACAUCAUGGCAAGUGCUUAGCUCACUAGUUAAUUUUUCACAUUUUUUCUAUCUCCUGAGCAUAAGCAUUUUUAACUUUAACAUGCUUUUUAUUUGCUUUAAUAAGAAAGUCCUCUUGGUUAUCCAAGAGUUCAUCCUUCUCAUGAAUAGCACUAAUCAAUUCAUUCAAUUUUUCUUUUUUUGCAUGUUUAAGUUGGCAAAAAGGGUGAGCAAGUUAUCCUCAUCAUCUCUAGAAUUUUCCUCAUCACUAGAAGUUGCAUACUUAGUGGAUGAUCUAGAUUUUACCUUCUUCUUCUUGUCGUCCUUUGCCAUGAGGCACUUGUGGUCGACGAUGGGGAAGAGGAGGCCCUUGUUGACGGCAAUGUUGGCGGCGUCCUCAUCGGAGGAGGAGUCGGUGGAGCUCUCGUCGGAGUCCCAUUCCCGACAAACAUGGGCAUCGCCGCCCUUCUUCUUGUAAUACUUCUUCUUCUCCUUCCUUCUUCCCUUCUUGUCGUUAUCCCUGUCACUAUCACUAGACAAAGGACAUUUAGCGAUAAAAUGACCGGGCUUACCACAUUUGUAGCAAACCUUCUUGGAGCGGGGUUUGUAGUCCUCCCCCCUCCUUUGCUUGAGGAUUUGGCGGAAGCUCUUGAUGAUGAGCGCCAUCUCCUCGUUGUUGAGCUUGGAGGCGUCGAUGGGAAGCCUACUGAUGUAGACUCUUCCUUCUUCUCCUCCGUCGCUUUGAAGGCGACGGUUGCACCUCGGAUGUAGAGGUGGCGCCUUGCUCGAUGAUUUUCUUAGAGCCUUUGAUCAUCAAUUCAAAGCUCAUAAAUUUUCCUAUUACUUCCUCGGGAGACAUUAGUUUAUAUCUUGGAUCACCACGAAUUAAUUGAACUUGAGUAUGGUUAAGAAAAAUGAGUGAUCUAAGAAUAACCCUGACCAUUUCAUGGUCAUCCCACUUUGUGCUCCCGAGGUUGCGCACUUGGUUCCCCAAGGUCUUGAGCCGGUUGUACAUCGCUUGUGGCUCUUCCCCUUGAUGAAGCAUGAAGCGACCGAGCUCCCUCUCGAUCGUUUCCCUCUUGGUGAUCUUGGUCACCUCGUCUCCUUCGUGCGCGAUUUUGAGCACGUCCCAAAUCUCUUUGGCACUCUUCAAUCCUUGCACCUUAUUAUACUCCUCUCAACUUAGAGAGGCGAGGAGUAUAGUAGUGGCUUGGGAGUUGAAGUGCCGGAUUUGGGCUACCUCGUCCGAGUCAUAGCCUUCAUCCCCCACGGAUGGUUCCUGCGCACCAAACUCAACAAUGCCCCAAAUACUAGUGUGGAGUGAGGUUAGAUGGUGCCUCAUUUUAUCACUCCACAUACAAUAAUCUUCACCGUAAAAAACCGGUGGUUUGCCUAGUGGGACGAAAAGUAAAGGGGUGCGUUUGGAAAUGCGAGGAUAGCGUAAGGGGAUCUUACUAACCUCUUGUGCUCAUGGCGCUUAGAAGUGACGGACGACGCGUCGGAGCCGGAGGUGGAUGGCGAUGAAGAGUUGGUCUCGUAGUAGACCACUUUCUUCAUUUUCUUCUUCUUGUCGCCACUCCGGUGCGACUUGACGCGGGGAGGUGAUUCCUCCUUCUUCUUGUUGGCGGACUCCCCCGAUGGAGCCUUCCCGACAUCACUUCGAGCGGUUAGGCUCUAAUGAAGUAACCGACUCAGAUACCAAUUGAAAGUCGCCUAGAGGGGGGGGGUGAAUAGGCGGAAUCUGAUAUUUACAAACUUAAACACACACACUACAAGCCGGGGUUAGCGUUAGAAUUAAAUUCGAGUCUGAAAGAGAGGGAAAACAAAUCAACAAAGAAAUAAAGCGGAUGAACACGAUGAUUUGUUUUACUGAGGUUCGAUUCUUGCAAACCUACUCCCCGUUGAGGAGGUCACAAAGACCGGGUCUCUUUCAACCUUUCCCUCUCUCAAACGGUCACUUAGACCGAGUGAGCGUUUCUCUUCAAUCAAAUGGGACACUUAGUCCACUACAAGGACCACCACAACUUGGUGUCUCUUGUUUUGAUUAUAAGUGAGUUGGAAACAAAAAUAGAGGAAGAAUAAAAGCGAUCCAAGCGCAAGAGCUCAAAAGAACACAAAAGUCUCUCUCUCUAGUCACUAAUUUGUUUGGAGUGAUUCCGAACUUGGGAGAUGAUUUGAUCUCUUUGUUUGUGUCUUGGAAUGAAGUCUAGAGCUCUUGUAUGAGGUUUGAUGGCUGAAAACUUGGAUGCAUUGAAGUGUGGUGGUUGGGGGGUAUUUAUAGCCCCAACCACCAAAAUGCCCGUUGGUGAAGGCUGCUGUCGUAUGGCGCACCGGACAGUCCGGUGCGCCACCGGACACUAUCCGGUGCGCCAGCCACAUCACCCGACCGUUAGGGUUCGACCAUUGGUGCUUCUGACAUGUGGGCCACCGGACAGUCCGGUGGAGCACCGGACAGGCACUGUUCACUGUCCGGUGCGCCAUCUGACGCCUGCUCUAACUCUGUGCGUGCAGGCGCGCACUGUAGUGUUCACUGUUCCUUUGCAGACGAUCGUUGGUGCUGUUUAGCCGUUACUCCGCUGGCACGCCGGACAGUCCGGUGCUACACCAGACAGUCCGGUGCUACACCGGACAGUCUGGUGCUACACCGGACAGUCCGGUGAAUUAUAGCGGAGUGGCUCCCAGAAUUCCCGAAGCUAGCGAGUUGGAGGGAAUCCACCCUGGUGCACCGGACACUGUCCGGCGGCAUACCGGACAGUCCGGUGCACCAGACCAGGACAUGCUUCGGAUGUCUUUUACUCUUUUUUGGACUUUUUAUUGGUUUCUUUCUUUGACUUUUUAUUGGUUUGUGUUGAACCUUUAGCACCUGUAGAACUUACAAUCUAGAGCAAACUAGUUAGUCCAAUUGUUUGUGUUGGGCAACUCAACCACCAAAAUCAUUUAGGAAAAGGUAUAAGUUUGUUUUCCUUUCAAACACUAGUACACAAAAGUUCUAUAGUGACAAUUCUAGAAGCAUAUGUAUUGACGUUUUUUGUCCCCGCCAGUGCUCGGGGCUAGUGGAAAAUAACAUUUUCACUGGCGGUUCUUUUAGUGCAACCGCUAGUCGAAAUACCAUUUCUAGUGACAUUUUUAUUAACAAACCGUCAACGGAAAUGCAGUUUCCACUAUCAGUUUUCUUUAUUUGGGCGCCAGUGGUAGUUUUCUUGGGUUUUUUUUUCAAAUUUUCAAAACAAACCUGAAUUUUAUAUAAAAAUGUAUAUAUACAUAAAUAUUAUAUAUAUCUCUACUACUACUUAUGUUAGUAUCGUAGGCGUGCACAGUUGUGGUUCUGCCGCGCCUCCACGCCCCUCCGCCUCGCCCGAAAUCUUGGAUCGCGUCAACAGCCGCGAUGCCUCGCCUGCCCCACGAAUCUCGCCUGCCCCUGUCUCCGCGAAUCUCGCCUCCCCCGCCCCCACAAAUCUCGCCGUCGCCAUUAUCUCAAGUUCUCAACCCGUCCACAGCCUCCUCCCCAACAGCAAGCGCCGCCGCCGCCUCGCCUCGGCAAACCCGGCUCCAGGGCGACAGCUCCCGCCGGCGGGACAACAUACUUCAGCGCCGUGAAGCCGUCCGUGAUCCAGCUGCGGGGUCCCACCAAGGUCAGCGUCUUCGUCGCCAACAACGACGCCGAGCAGGCCUGCCGCCUGCGACUUCAGGAUCACCGGCAGCUACCACGACAGCGCCUGUGCCGUCUCCCUCGGUGACUCCGACACUGUCAUCACCAAGGCAAGUGCGCUCUAGGCUCUCCCUCCUCCUACCCACCCGUUCUUGGACCACCGAGGACGUCGCGGCAAGCUCGCCCUCACCCGCAGCAAUCUCGCCGGCCCCCGCGGCCUGACCUCGGCAAACCCGACUCUCCAUGGAAGGUACGCGCAGUCCACUCCUCCAUGGAAGGGCACGAUCCCCGACCCGACCACCACGCAGAUCCACUCUACCCGAGCAAUGCAUCUCUCCCUUCUGUCGUCAGAGAUCUCGCCCUUCCGCGCGGUCCCAAGCUCUACAGAUGGUGGAUAGCCAGAGAUUUUGCCCUUCCAUCCCGUCCUUUCCACCAUCCUUGCCCCAAGCCAGAGAUUCGCGCCGUGGAUCCGCCACCCAGUACCGCGCUGUGGAUGGCGGACCUCCCAGUAUCGCGCCUGCGCCGUCCGCGCAUUACUAGCAGCAGCAGCCGCAGACCCAGACACCAUCACCACCAUCUCGAAUUUGACGUCUCGAGGUCGCCGUGCCAGAGAGCUUGGGGGCUAGGCGGACGAUGCAGAUGGCGGGGAGGUCUACGACAGGCUUAGGCCCUAGCGCAGAAAGUUGCUUGCGUCCAUGGCUAGCUCUCGUGGCCCUCGGUAGUCUGCCUCGCCGUCGUUGACGUCGUACCCUUCACGUUCCCGUCGAGAAGGUUCGACCUUCUCUGAUCUCCAUCCUGCCCCUAGCAAGCUCGUCACUGCCAUUCCUAGCGUGGGCGCUGGGGCUUGACUCCUGCGUCGUACUCAUCUUCCUCAACACCUCGCCUACGCCCACCAGGUGUUCGACAGAGUGUCAUCUGUCCGUCUUGCAGGCUGGUACGAGCAUCGCUGACAUAGCCUCAGUCACUUCCUUAUCUAGAUAGUUUGUUUUGUAUAAUUUUGUCAAUUAUUUAGAAUUAACUAAAUUUUGCGAUUCUGUCUUUGCAGGACAUGGACAUCGGCCACCAUGUGAAUGGCCUGCGUAAGCACCCAUCCAACGAGGUCCGGCAACUGGUGAAGCUGCUCGUUAGGUUAUGAAUCAGCUGACUGCUCCAUUGGAUCGACAGGACAUAACUGUCUUCCGAUAAUCUGAUUGUGGAUUUGUCUUUGUCUUUGGUUUUGAAGGAAAUGGAAGGAAAUAUUGGAUGAUUGGGUGAGGCUGCACAACUCAGGUGGUGAUGGUAGUGGCUCCAUCAUAUGUAUGGUGCUGUACAGAAUGUUGAACUUAUCUAAUGUGUUGUGUUUAGCUCCAAAGCUUUUGGAAUUACUUCGUGUUUGGUGAUAGUUUUGAUAUCUUUUCAUUCAUGGUGGCAGGCGAUGGUGACUCACCUGACAAAGUCCAAUCCAAGUACCAUCAAAAUACUCAUGUAACUAUUCUUCCACGCUCCAAUUUAGGCUGAUCUUCUGUUUCUUGUAUAUAGUAAUUUAGUAAUUGCAAAUAAAAUAAUUGUGCCACACCAGAUAAAAAAAACUCGACCUACCAGUGGUAAGACAGCCACAUGGUGUCGGAUAGACAAGGGGAAUUUUUUUAACCCACGACCAGUGCCAGGACCUUAGACCAGUGCUUCGGCAAUAGGACAGACGAAGGGAUUUUUUAACCCCCGCAUAAAUUUUGCUCUCACAGGGAGUCAAAUUCAGAACCUGAGGAGUGCUACUCAGAUCACCUAACCAACUCAGUUAAAUCCUUUUUUAUGAAAGAUUUGAAAGGUGUGUAGCUCAAUUUCCCUUAAUGUUGUCAUUCUACAUAAAAGCACCGCCCUCCCGUGGUUGCUGAUUCCCUGUACCAGGCACUUGGUAUUCCUCCCACGUUCUUUGCGAUAGGGACUUGGUAUUCCUCCGAGCACGGCUUCAACGACGGCAACUGCGACCAGGCACGCAGGCCGCACCGGGUGGUGGUCGAAUCGAGGGAGGCCAUGCCCCUGUCCUUCGACAACUCCACCACCGAGGAUUCAGCGGCUGCCGUGAAGCCUAAGCCCAAGGUCAGGGUCAGGAAGAACCCCAUGAAGCAGUCAUGCUUCGACUUCACCAAGGUGGACGUCGUGCUUCUCCCCAUCGUCUUCCUCCUCGUCCGCCCCAAUGUUGGCAAGUCAGCCCUCUUCAACAGGUGAGAGGCACCUUAGGAAGGCAUCGGUCAUUGCCUCUCGCCUGUAGUUUCUAUGCCGCUAUGAGGGGUGGUGGCAUUUCCUCAAAUACGUUGCAUGUAUCACUGUAACUGUUCUUCCCCUUCUGUUACCAUUAACCCAUGCAUCUAAUUACUUGUAUAUUUUAUGUUACCGUUUUCCUGUUCUCAACAUUUCAGAUUCUAGAUGAUGGUACGACAAAUUAUUUUAGGAGUGCUUUGCCAUAAUUUAAAGCUUGGAAGGGAGCUUUCUAUGAUUUAUUUUUCUGACUGUUUCGUCACAUGUUCUUUCCCUAGAUGAAAGUCUUGAUUUAUUUUUGGUUCUGCAGGAUCAUUGCGUCUCUGCGAGCUAAUCAGGUUGGGAUACUUUGUUAUGUUUGGACAGUUCUAUGAUUGGGAACUGUGUAGAAUGUGACAGCAUUUCUUAUUUUAAUGUGCAUUGCAGCUCUGUGAGCGUCUCCCUAGCCCCAAUGGCGAGUCAACUGUUGAUUGCCAUCAGAUCUCAAAGAUGCCAAAUCUUGCAUUCACCAUAGCAAAUAAGACUUUCACCUUAACACCAGAGCAGGUAACUCCCUACUUACAAUUUCUUCAGUGUUUGAAUUAGUAGUGAAACAUUGUCUAGGGAACCAUGAUCUCAUUUUCAAAGUUACAGUCCAUUUAUUGGAUAUUCUUUGGUGCAAACAUAUACUUCUUCUAUUUCUCUUGAAUCCACUGAUUGCCUUUGUGCUGCAGUACAUAGUGAAGCUGGAGCAAGCAGGACAAACUAUCUGCAUCAGUGGGUUUAUGGCAUUUGACGUACCGCCUCCUCGUGGUCCUCUCUGGUACGCUGAACAUAUAUGUACAUAAGUGGCAGUAAUCCACACUCUACACAGUCUUUGCUUUCUCUAGCAAGAAUCAAGCAUGCAAUCUGACAUCUAUCUUGUAAACAUUCAGGAUACUUGGUGAUGUUUUUAUGAGUGUCUACCACACUGUUUUUGACUUCGGCGAGAACAUGAUUGGGUUUGCCAAAUCUGCAUGAGGACUGGAGUUCUGCGCUUUAGUAGCAUGUCCAGUUUGUUAUCCCGGUAUUGUACAUAUAUAUGUUGCCAACUGGUGUAAUCCGCAGUGUUUAAUAGUAUAUAUUCAUGCAGAAAUCUAGAAGAUUGUGGCAUGAUAUGUGUUUGCAA